UGCAAAGUGCAACGUUACAGUGUAAGGUCCAUUCUCAAGACCCAGGCCAUAGUAUCUCAGUGAUCCUGGGGACAAUCUUGAAGUCUGGAAAAGCUCCGGGGUCACAUCUGUUCCGGUGACUUGCUCAAGGGUAUUUUCCAGAAACGAUCGGUUCACUCCGUCAGAAAACAUACCGACAUUGCUGACAGCCCAAUUCUCUAUACUGGUUACAUUGAAUGUUGCUGGACCAAGAGCUGAGUCUUCGGCCUCAUACGAUAUGCCAUCACGUCCCUUCAUUUCCGGUCCACCACAGUUGAUUGAGAAGUUUGCAUCUGUAAGUUUCAUGUAUUACCAGAAUCUACCCAUGAUUAGCGAUGAAACUUCAAAUUGAAGACUCAUACUAAUGUUUUUCAGUCACAUAUUUCUGACCAGUUAUGCUUAUUUCUGAACUUAUGAAAACAUGCUGGCAAUCUAUAUCCAUAUGUAUACAUAACUAGAGAAGCAAUGCCUUCUCUAACAUGACGUUGAGUUAAAACAGUAAAUGUUGGGUGACAUAAAAGCAGAUUACAUCGUGGGGCAUUUCGAUUGCAUGGAAAAUUUCUCUGGAGGCAAUUCAAUCCAGGAAGAGUACUGCAAACACAGAGAACAAUUAUUAGUUAUCCAGAUAGAAGCAUAUAGUGGAAGAGUAGUGAUAGUAUUGCUUGUCUAAAAACCGGCAACAGAAACUUCAACUCACGUUUUGUUUUUUUCGUCAAAUGUGAAGUUGUUGACCACUAAGUUCCUGCAUAAAAUCAUUAAUCAAUCAACAUGUGAAGAAAUAUCUCUGUCAAAUGAAAAUUCCAUGUACAAGAUCAAAACUUAAUAGGCAAGUAGCACUAUGAGAACGAAUCACAGUGAUAUUUUUUGUCCGAACAUAUUCUAGGGAUUUAAAUUGUAAAAUGAAGGUGAAAGAUAAAAGGAGACGUACAGUUGCGAUAUUGUGAUCACCCACUGGGAAAGCUUCCUGAUAAAAAAAUUGUAAGACAAAUCUCUGCUAAUAACAAAAUAGAAUCAGAAGACACAAAAUGCAUGAAAGUUAUAAGAACUUCAACUUGUGUAAGAUAAAGGAUUAGAAUGCUUACAAAAUGCACAAACACAUACAUGCACGUGCACACACAGGUACAAAGUACUGGUUUCAGUGUCAAUAGACUCUGUACAUUCUAUAUGACUACUUUUAAGAAACGAGGACUUACAUAGUCUGAAGUCGAUCGCUCUUUUGGCUCGGAAGAGGUCCGGACAGACUAUUAUUUCCAAGAAACCUGGCCAUUUCGAUUAUAGUAGAAGGCACCCAGAAAAGAAAAAGAGAUGAGCAAGAAAAAGGUCAGAUGUGCAUAAAAUCUAUAAGGAUUAGUCCAGAUCUUCAAUCAAAGUAGGGAAUGUUAAGAUUUGAUAACUUAUGUAUGAUGAGGCAAGCAAAAUAUAAUAAUAAGAACGGGGAUUACAAGGAUGUAAGAGAACUCAUGGUGAACAAAGAACUUGGGAGUUGGCCUGUCAAAUUGUUGAAACUCAGAUCCCUGCAACACCAACGAUAAGUUGAGAGAAGCAAUCAGAACGAAAGAAAACUAAUUGGCCUCGUUGGGACUCAAGCUUAUAUGCACUAGUACGUACAGUAUCUGUAGACUUUGAUAUUCUCCAAUAUCAGAUGGGAUGGUACCAGUGAUUAAUGCGUUUCGUAGUUUUCUGUUCACAUCAAAUUUGAUAAAAAGUAGAUGGAGUAAGAUAUCAAAAGGAAAAAGGACAACGUUGGAUGAAAGUAUAUGGAUCGACAAGAAUUCUUCACUUACAAUUCAGUCAAGUUCUUCAUAUUUUUAAUGAAAUCAAGAGAGGAGCUCCCAUCGUAUAUAUCAUUGAUAUGCCUACAUCAUUAUAUGCAAAAUAACUGAAAUCCCGUCUUCGGAGAAAGGGAAAGAAUUACAAUUUAUGAAGCAUUUGUACUUACAGAGAUUUCAAUGAGGUCAGUUGAGAAAAGCUGGUUGGUAUUGGGCCUUCCAAAGAGUUCCCUUGAAAUCGCCUACAGAAACAUAUAAGAAGCUUGUGAACAAGUUAUCCAUCUCAGGUCUGCUUUCAUAAACUGCAUAAGAUCAAAAUUUUUUGUGCUUACAAAGAAAUGAGUUGUGUCCAAUUCCCUAUGAAAUCAGGAAUCUUUCCUGAGAAAAGACUGUCUGAUGUCCAACUAAAAUUCACAAAGUUAACUUAUAAUAAGCUCAUCCAAGAAAAGCAAUCUCAAAGUACUAGAUAAACGAACAAAUCUAAAAUACGAUUUAAGAGCCGUUCUUACAAGAUUUGCAUACUGGUUAGCUUGGCAAAUGUUGAAGGAAUUUCACCACUGACUCCACAGCUGUCCAUGUAACUGUGAAAAUCAUAAGGCAACUGAUUAAUACCCAUCUUAUACGAUAAUGUGCAAUUUUUGCUUAUGCGUAAGGAACUACAUGUAAUUCAAAUUUGAUGAUUUAACGAACCACUUACAUUUGCUGGAGCUUGACUAAAUUACCAAGUUCUGGAGGGAGUGUUCCGGAGAAAUUAUUUGAUCCGAAGCCCCUGCAAAUCAUGUUGAACAGGCAAACAAUUACUUGAAAGCAAUUAUUGAAGAGUGACAGAAGGUUCUGUAUCUAAUGUUUACGACACAAAAUGUUACUGUACGCUUUCUCAUUUUUCAUGGCUUACAGUAUACUUAGCUCCUUAAGGUUUCCAAGCUCCUUGGGGAUGGGCCCAGAGAAUGAAUUGUGGCCAAUUUGCCUGAAUGGAGAUAUCAGUUAACUAAAGAUAAGCACCAUUACAGUACGUUACAUUAAGAAACUAGUACUGCAUUAUUCAACAAAAACAUAAUGGUUUGUAUAGAUUACGGUGCAAAUUAUAGAGAAAAGGUGUAAAGAACAUAACUGUAGAUUAUGAUAUUCAAAAUGAAGUACACAAAUUGCGACUAGUCUCAUCAGAAGUAUGAUACUUAAAACAAAUUUUCUCUCACUACUUACAAUUCAAUCAAUGCAGACAUAUUGCCAACGAAUGCCGGUAGGGAACCUUUGAAAUAAUUCUUAUCGAUUUUCCUACAAAAAUUGAAACGAAAUGUAAUCAUUAACUCUUAAUCUUACGACAUCACCAUAUUUUUAAUUUCCAAUUGAUAAGUUUGAUGAACCAAAAACAGAGAAGGGAGUUGGAAAAAAUUCAUACAAAACUGCGAGAUAUCUUAGAGCCAAAAGUUCUUCGUGAAACACCCCUCGUUUGUACAGAGCUUGCACUUUCCUGGAAAGCAAAAAGAUUGACCAUUUAGAACUUUAUAAAAUGGAGUGGCACAGUCAAAUUAUUGACUAAUAGAUAUAGGUAUAGCUAGCGAAAAAUCAGCAUUGGCAGAGAAAUCUUGUUCAUAAAGAGAGAGUAGUUUAACAUACAGUUUGGUGAUGUGGCAUGUAGCAUUGUUGUCGUAAGAACAGUUGCAAACGAUGGCUGGGUUGAUAUUGGGGCUAUCAAUGUCGGUGCCGUCGAUGGCAGAUCCACUGCAGGGUUUUCCGCUGAUAUUCCACAGCCCCGACAUUGCUUGUGUGUCCCAUUGUUCAAAUAUUAAGUUCAACGCCCUCACUGCACCCUCAGUUAAUUCAGUCCUUGUGUGUAUUAUAUUAUAUCACACCAUGAUUCGACUUGUGUUACCACUUACCAGACUAUCUCGAAUCAAAUGAGAGAUCAAACUGAUUAUAACAAAGGAAAAUUACCCUUAAAUUGGAAGUUUUGUAUAUGGGAAGAAAAAUGGUUUUGCAAAUAACUUCCUCAGAAACUUCAUUUCAUAUAGUCGAAAAACACUUAAAUGUCAUUUUGUUGAGGGAAAACAGCUCAGUUCAUGGUCAAAAACACUUAUAUGUGGCAAAUUGUGUAUGUGUGUAGGGAGGGAGAGAUACAGAGAGACAAAGAGACAGAGAGAGAGAACCUUCAGAUGGGUCAGUGGUAGCAUUUUGAACAAAGGACAGCUGAAAACACAAGCAGCUGAGGAAGCAUAGUAAUAGUAUCCUCAUCAUCAACUUCAUCUUCAUAUUGUAAAUGUGCAGAACUUGCUCUCCUCGACGGCGUGAAACUAAACGGCCAACCCUUAUAUUCCGACUGGCUGAAUCUUGCAUGUAAAAAGAAGACCAUAAGAUUUUAGUCAUAUAUUGACAACGUGUGCGUAUAUACUUAAAUUUUGUCCAAGUUGUAGAUCAAAUGGCGGCCAACACCUUUUAAAUUUCCCACUUGGAGUUGGCUAAGGCUUUGAUCGUAGUAGUUGGAUUGUAUAUUGUCGUAUUAGACAUUGAGCUGCUUUAGUGUGGAGAUAUUUAUGUACAAUUCUAUAUUGUUAAUACUUUUCUGGUUGAAAAUAUCAAGGGAUUGACUUACGGAUCAAUAUUCUGACUCGUCCACUACUAAUAAUGGAGAGGGAUUUUUAUUUGAUAUGACAUCUAACGAGGAUGUCAUCAUGACAAUAUCUUAAACUAAUCACAUUAUUAUGUAUGACAAAAUUGAAUUGUAACUUUGGUCUAAAAUGGGCGGCUCUAAGCAAACAAGGAUUCCUGCCUUGGAAGGAUGGGAAAAGAACGUCCAUUAUAAGUAAAAAGAUCGUUUUCACGACUCGAACUUGUAACCUUUCGGUCACAAAGAAGCAAAUUUUGCAUUGCGCCAAAGAUCGCCCUGAAUUGUAGCUUUAGUCAAUAAUCUAAAAAUUCAUUAUAGCUAUACAUGUAUUCGACAAAAUAUGAAACACUGGUUAUUGACGCUAAUUCUAUGAGAAUUUUUAUUAAAAGGAGCAUACAUGCAAUUCUCUAAUUUACUCUUCUUAAAGGUAUUCCUCGGAAUUUUGGCCAAAAUUCUUAGCGCGAUAGACUAAUGCUUAACAUUGGUCAAACUUAAAUACUAUCUCUAAUAGAUCUUUAAUUUGCAAACUAAAACUACAAUCAAGUCAUAAUUCACAAAUUAGUCUAGUACAUUAAUUAUACUGUUCAUAUCAAAGACUCAUACUCAUCCUCGCAAUCGUAUCAAUAAGUUCAUCUCUCUUAGCAUAAAAUAAAAUUGACAGGUUUUAUCAACCAGUUAUACGCAUUGGUUGGGAAAGGCAAGGGAGACACAUAUACUGCCUAAGUGGAAUCCGGAUCCUGACAGAGAUUUAUAAAUCGUGUUCGUUUAACGUACUUCAUGUGAUCAAAAAUUAUUUUUUAUUUUUUAUUUAAAAUAAAAUGCAAACAGCAUUUGACACAAUUUAACCGUAUAACGUACGAUUAACAUACAUAAUUCACAGCUUUUCAAGUACCUCACAAAAAAGAGAAUCCAAAGAAUCAUGUUAGGCCUAAGUGGCCUUUGGUGUAUGACACGUAGGUUGCACAUGCAACGCGAUCAACUUGCGGAUCAACUUGCGGGAGUUGACGAGUCUUCCAAAAAGUUCAAUAAGUAUUUUUUUGGUAAAAAAAAAGUUCAAUAAGUUUAAUCAUGGAUAAGACAUUAUAUAAGGGAUUAAUCUCAGUUUAUUAUUAUAAAGUUUCAUAAUUUUUAAUAUUUGAUAUAUAAAUUUUUUUUAUCCUAAAAUCAUAGCUCACGUCUGUUAAACUGAUUGUUAAGUCAACUUUUAAUUGGUAACAUGACACACAUAUCAACAAUACGUUACGCAUCAUUAAAGGUCCACGUGAAUAUUAAAAAAAAUUAAAAACUAAAAAAUUAAAAAACUUAAGAAAAUAAAAAAAAAUUGAGCGAUGAUGCAGCCUGCUGCUAUCCUUCUUUCUCUUCUCUCCCUCAAAUCUCAUAUCCCCAGCAACCCUUGCCCUCGCGACCUCGUAACCGUCGCCCUUCAUCUCGCUGCCACUAGCAAUGGGUGGGCGGAGAUCGAUUCGGCCACCAACGGAGGAAUUGAAAGGGAAAAUAAAGCGUGCCCGAUGAUAAGCCUAUCGAUCCGAUUUGCUCCGAAGAAUUAGAAUUCUUUGUCCAUGGAGUUUGCCCAUUUUAUUUUUUCCAAAUCCAAUUUCCAUCGUGCGUUUUCCUUUGCCCUUAAAAAAAAAUGCAGAAAUUUGGGAACGAAGGUGAAGGCAGAGAAAUCCCGCUCAUCUCUUCACUCCAAGGCCAAAUCCCACUCAUUGGAUUUUCAUCUCUUCUACCUUAAUCCAAGCCGCGGUGGAGCUGGGCAAAGCCGAAGGCAUGCCAGACUCACCAGUCCAGAUCCCAACCAUUUCUUUUCUGCCUGAACCACCCAGCCAACCCCGAACCACCAGGACCCGCACUCGACCCGUCGCAAGCUCGCGCCUGCCUGACCACCCGCUGCAACCCGCCAGAACCACAAAAUUGCAUCCCCGUCGCACCCAGAUCGGCAGAAGAACUAAUUGCAGAAGAGUGAAAAAGGGACGGGGGAGAGGAAGCAACUAUCCCCACCUUUUUCUAUUUUUUUUUAUUUUUUUAAUGUUUCUUAAAUUUAUUAAUUUUUUAAGUUUUUUAAAUUUUAGUUUUUUUUUGUAAUUUUCACGUGGAUCUUUAAUGAUGCGUGUGACGUUCAAUCAUUAUUCACAUGAACAUAAUGUUACCAGUUAACAGAUGACAUAACAGACAACUUAACGAAUAUAUAAGACUAUCUGAAAAUUAAGACUUGAUGUAUGACUUUGAAAUAAAAAAAAUAUUUAUGUACCAAAUAUUGAAAAUUACGAAAUUUUAAGUUAAUAAACUGAGAUUAAUCUUUAUAUAAAAUAUGCAAAUAAUUAUUAGAUAUUGGCAAACCACAGUAAUUUUAUUUAUUUAUUUUUUUAAGCAAGCAAAUGGACUGGGAAAUAUACUGCUUUCGAAUGCAUCUGUUGAUCACAGUUAAGGAUGAACUUUAACAUUUCGAAAGAGAGAGCCAGCUAGCUAGCAGUUGAUCUCCUGUAUUUUAUAGGUGUAUAUCAUAUGGAGAGACAGGGAGAGAGAGAGAGAGAGAGCCGACCUGCUGUUGAAGCAGGAGGAGGAGCUGAAGCAGAAGCAAUAAAAAAACUGGAAGGAAGAGAUCAGAGAUGGCGGCUGCUUCGCCCACUAGUUCUGAAAUUCAUCCCCUCUCUCUCUCCUCUCUCUUUUUCCUAAUAAGAGCCAAUGAGAAUGAAAAGGAUAAUUCCCACCAUGGCACCGUGGGAGUAGUGUACAUAUAUGGACCUGGAUUGUUUGUCUUUCUAUCCUUUUCUAUUUCUGUGAUCACAUGUUAACAUUUUAUAUUAAAUUUUUUAUAGAAAUAAUAAAUCACGUCAAUAUUUUAUAUUAAUUUUUUUUUAUAGAAAUAAUAAGACAAAAAAAAUGAAAAUAUAAAAUGUUAACAUGUCUUAAUGGUGAUCACAGAAAUAGGAGAGAAUAAGAAUAAUAUGGAAUGAGGAGGGCAAACAAUCAAGGUCCCAUAUAUAUAUAAUGGCAUAAUCAAGGUUCUAAAAAACGUUAGGCACUAGUCAGGUUGUGGGAUGGUGCCUAGCGCCUAGGUUGCUAGGUAAGCGGCCUAGGCGGAUUUAGGUAAAUUUCUUAUAUUUUAUAUAAAUUAAUUAAACUUACUAUAUUAGGUGUAAAUAAUUAUUGAAUAAUAUGUUAUUUCUUAUAGAAGAACAUACACAUGUGAAUGUUUUAUGUACAUAUAUAAUAUGCUUGCCUAGGAAAAAAAACAAAAUAUUAUCUAAAUUAACAUUUAUAUACAUAUAAUAUAGAUAUACACCCCAAACUUUUAAAAUAUAAAAACCCACACAAGUAGGUGGUUUUCAUGAUAAAACCAUCUUACCCUUUAUAAUAUAUAACUUUUAAAAAUAUCAAAAGCUCACGCAAGUGAGGUGGUUUUCAUGAUUACAACUAGACUUGUAAACGGAUAACGUGUUAGAGAUUUUAAUAAUAAAGAUAUAAAUUAUUAUUAUAUAUAUAUAUAUAUAUAUAUAUAUAUAUAUAUAUUGGUGCAGUGCACCAGCAAUGUUUGACAGAUGAUGGGAUUGGAUCAUUGACCCAACAAUCACACCCUUUGUUAAUAAACGCUGCACCUUUCUGUGUUUUGGCGAAAAGGUGUGAUGUAACCGAAUGCAUUUUUGCAUCAGACAAACAUUGUUGCAAUGUUCAGUUGUAUCUCAUGAUGAGAGGAUACACCCAAAACCAAAGGAUAUGUCUAAAGGUGCAAUUCUCUCUAUAUAUAUUGGUAAUAUUAGUAGAAAAGAUUCAUUAAUUCAGAAAUUAGUUAUCUACAUAAUUUCUUUGUUCUCUUUUCUCUCAUCAUCACAUUCAUACAAUUUCUUUCUAGUUAUUUCUAAGGGAAUAUAAUUCGGUUUUGCUAAUCGAAUAUUUCAUACUUUGUUGUAUCCUGGAAGUGAUUUGCCAAGAACCCUUUAGCAAACUCAUUCGAGUGGGGGCAAAUAACACUUUAAGGAAACGAUUCAAGUCGUACCUCAAAGUCAUUAUUCGGAUUAUUCUCCAUAUUUCUAUAUUUAAUCUAACAUAACGGGUCAUCCGAACCCAACCCGUUAAGCUUAACAGGUCACCCGAAUCCAACUCAUUAAACUAAUGAAUCACCUGUUUUAACCCGUUUCACCCGUUAACUACCAUUGAAUUGAAAACCAAAGAUGUCUUUUUUGGAAGUGGAGACCGCAAAGCGAUGAAUCCAAGACGAUGUGAUUGUCUUGCACAUGCCACCAUUGAAUUUGAAUCCUCUCUUCCUCCUUCUCCAUACCUACAAAAAUAAAUUCAGAAAUUAAAUAUAAAAAAAUAAAAACAAAAACUGGCAUCUUCCCAAAUGAAACCCGAAGUGAAAAAUCGAAAUUUUAACAGUUGAAGGAAGCUUACAAUGAGACGUUUCCAUGUAAAUUACAUAACUUUGAGUCUCAUAUCCAACUUGCACCACCACAAAUAUUUGACUUCUCUUCUAGCAAACAGAGAGGUAGACGGCGAGACUCGGGAAGACAAGAAGGUUGUGAGUCUUGCGACUGAAGUUUCUUUUCCAGGCUGCCCAGACCGCACAAUGUCCGUCGAGCCCGCCUAGCCCACCCAGGCGGCUGUCUUACAUCGCUUAAUGUCCUUGCCGAUUUAGUGAACGAUUUCUAGUUAAUUGUGGUGGAGCACCGCCGCCUAGAGCCUAGGUGGCCGCCUAGACCGCGUUUUAGAACACUGGGCAUAAUUGGUCGUCGAUGUCAGUCUGUCUAUUCUCCAAACUAGCAAUUUGUUUAUUCUUAAAAUGCAAACGACGCUUUUCUAUAAGGGCGAAAAGUUUGUUUAUGUAUUUUGACGUGAGUAAUGUUAAAGAAAUUAAAUUUAGAGGAAUAAUUUAUAAAUUAAAUGAUGUGUCAUCAAUACGAAUAAGCAUUUUUAUCAAUGCUUAAGUAAUAAACCAAUCAUAAAUUUCUAUGUCCUUUAAUUUCUAAAACAUACCUACAAAUUUAGUCUUGCUAACAUUAUUCUUUUGAUGUUGGUUUGAUUUCCACUGAUUUCUUUCUUUCAACAAUUAACAAUUUUAUCUACUUAGGCUUUGCCUAAUGUCCGCACAAUUUUACAACUUUCAACAUGCAUUUGCUUUGGGCUGGAUGAUUUUUCUUGACCAAACCAGGAUUAUAAUUCAACAUUAGCAUGAAUGAUUCACACCAUUACAUAUAUAGUCUUACGAGUUAAUGCACAUCGACUUAGGCUUUGCCUAAUGUCCACACAAUUUUACAACUUUCAAUAUGCAUUCGCUUUGGGCUGGACCACUUCUCUUGACCAAACCAAGAUUAUAAUUCAACAUUAGCAUACAUGGUUCACACCGUUUACAUAUAUAAUCUUACGUGUUAUUCUUGUCAAUUCUAAAAAUAACUUUUUGAAUUUUUCUCAACGACAAGAUAUUUGAUAAUGUGGAUGGCAUUAAAUUAUCUCGUAAUCAAAAGAUAACGAGUCAAUGGACAAAGUUGAGGAAUUGGGAGGUGGGCUCGUUUAAGAAAGAAAUCAAAAUUUAACUUUAAAAUGUCCAGUUUGUGAACAACUUGUAAUUUAUGAAAAAAAUUGUUAAAAUGAAGGAUCCUUUGAAUUAAUAUAAUAUUUUCAGUCGUCAUUUCGUUUCGAACUUUAGUUUGCAAAGGUAUAUACUUACAACAUGAUUUUUGUAAUUAUGUUUAGUCAUAAAGGGUUUGGUACACAAACAACAAAUGGUUGCCACAAUUCUAUAGAGGACACAAAUUUAGGCUAUUUUUUUCACUUCCAUAUUCAAUAUGUGCAUAAUGUUUGGUGUGAAGGACAUUUUGUACUUGUCUGUAAGGAACUAUGAAAAUGAAUAUUUCAAUUUACCAUAUACAAUUUUAAUCUCUUCCCAAGUGGUGGAUUGCCCUAGUAUAUAGGGUCUUUCUUUCAUUUCACUACAUCCCGAAUUCAAACCUCAUACUUUCUUUCAAGAGUAUUUUAGUUCUUUUUAUAGUUUACUGUAAAAAUAUCGUUUUUAUUCUUUUUUAUAGCCUUUUUCAUUUUAAAAAGUAUCUAAAUACUUGAGUAACCUGCACGCGUAGAUAGGUAGAUAGAUAAGAUAACGUUACGUAUAUGAAGAUACGUGCGAGAAUACACUGAUUGAGGAAAAACCUAGUUGUAUCCAAGAGACAUACAUGCAAGACUAGCUCAACUUAAACCGAAAAUAACUAGUCAAAACAUAAAACUAAGCUAGUUGGCCUCAUCACGUCUAACUAUUGGACCUACGACUUGUAAUUGUAUGAUGCUAGUCCUUUGAGGUCAGUAGAUCACCGCAAUGUGCCUUUUUUUGUACAUCCAAGUUUUAAUCCGUCUCUAUCAAGUCAAGGAAAAUUUAGGUAUGCUAAAUCAAAGUAAAUUUAAGUAUUUUUCACCAAAAAAGAGAAAGUAAGUAUAGGUAUUUGAAUUGAAUUUCUCCAAAUCAAGUAAAUCUUAAUAAAUGCCCCUUCUGUUUAGAGGAUUUCUCGCGUUGGAGCUGGAGCCCAAGUAGGAAAUUCCUGGUGCCCAAGCCUAGUUUCCACCUCUCUAACAAGCUUAAAAAUGAGUAAACAUGAUAUAAGUACGUACUAUAUACAUAUAUAUAUAUAUAUAUUAGCAUAUAUAUGAAUUUAGUAAACAUGAUAUAAGUACGUACUAUAUACAUAUAUAUAUAUAUAUAUAUUAGCAUAUAUAUGAAUUUAUAAAUGUAUGGAAGAUAAAAAAAAAAAUUUGAAUUAUUUUUAUAAAUGAUAGGUAGAUUACAUUUUGUAGAAAAUUUUAUUAUGUUUCGGUGCAUAAUAUUUGCUAGACAAUAGAUGAUUAGGAUCGUUGUUUUUUUUAUUUGGUCAAAAGUCUGAAGAAAUCGACGGUGUAAGAAUUGGUGCAUAUAAUCGAAAAUCCUAAUCAUAUAUAUAUAUUUUAUGAGGAAACCUAAUCAUAUGAAUAUAUUGUUCGACAAAAAAAAAAUAAUAUGAAUAUAUUGAGGAAACCUAACCCUUGCCUACAAUCUCGUGCCAAUUUCCGCUCCUUUGGACAUAUCCUAGACCUUCCCUGCAUUCUCUCGCAGGUUCUACGGGGCGAAGCUCACUUGAAAUUUACUGGGAGGACGAGGGAGGAGCCGGAUUCAAACGGAAUGGUGAAGGUAAAGGAAAAGGACGCCAAGUCAAAGGCAAGCGAAUUGUUGUUGAGGAGGAAGGAUGGGCAAAUACUUAUUGGUUAUGGAUAACCGCGGUUAUCCGUCCAUUUCAAUUAAACGGUUACGGUUAUGGGUAACCGUUUAGAUAAAUAAACGGUUAUGGGUAAAACCGUUUACCCGCCAAAUUUAAAUGGGCGGUUAUGGGUAUUAACCACGGUUAUAAACGGGUAACCAUUUACCCAUUUAUUUUAUAUAUGUAAAACUAACACAAACCAUGUUCUCGAUCCAAUAAUACUUAGCACCCAAUAAAUUAGCAAGGAAUUCAUCGGUCCUUCUCUCAAUAACACUACUACAGGAAUGAUGAUUCUCAUCAUCAAGGAAUUGGCCAAAUUAAUUUAAAUUCUUUGCGGAUAACCGUGAAAUUGACAGAAAUGUCUUUUAAACAAUUUUUGUAACCCAAUAAUACUUAGCAAAUAUUAUAUUUACCUUCAUUGGUAACAGUUAAAAAUAUCGUCCGUAAACUAUUAUUUCAAUUAUUGGAAUUGUAUAAGGACUUAAAAAUUAAAAUAUGGAAAUGUAUGAUGAAUCUACCUAUAACGGUGUUUAAUUGUCAAAAAAAAAUUAUGACAAUUUUUUUUUUAAUUUUCAAGUUGUUAAAAAACAUGUAGACGGGUAGAAAAAGGGUAAUGGUAAAAAAAAAAGAUAAACGGGUUAAAAAUGAUAAAUGGGUAAACGGGUAUUAAACGGUUACGGUUAAAUGGGUAUGCGGUUAUGGGUAUGGGUAUAACAGUUUAGGCAAUUACCCAACGGGUAAACGGUUAUGCGGAUAUGAGCAUAAACGGUUAUGGGUAAAUUAACCGCGGUUAUCCGUUCGCAUAACCAUUGCCCAUCCCUCGGAGGAAGGGGAUCCACACAGCCAACAAGGCGACUCAGAGAUAAGAGCGCGACGCUGAUUGCCGCUUCUUGCACGACUGUGUUUCAGAUAUUUUCGCCCAGUGCCUCAAGUCUGAUAUUGAAAAAUUUCAUCAUCACAAGGAUCAUGACCAUGACCAUCAUGAUGAUUACUACUUGGAGAUUACCCAAGCGGCUACCUCUUUGCCUACCACCGCUGAUCAUCAUAUGAUGUUCAAAAACAUUGCAAGGAAGGUUUUCCCGCCAGAAUCAUGCCGCCGAGAAGGGGAUGGUAGUGUUUGUUAUAUUGACCGACUGAGGAAGGAGGUUUUGUCGCCCUUGAGAAAAACUUGUUGGAAAUUAUAUAUUAUAAUAUGAAAUAUUGUAAUAUAUAAUUUUAAUAAUUGAAUGAAAAAUAGUGUUAACCAAUUUCUUAGAAAUGUUAUGUUGUUUAACUGAUAUUCCCUUGAUAAGUGAUGUCUAUUUAUAGAUGAAAAGUUACAUCUCUUUAAUAAGUAGAAGUUGGAUUCUAUAUAAACCCAUGAAAUCAUUGGUAUUAUAUAUAGAAAAUUAGAGUUAAUUUUUACUCUUGAGAAAUAGGGUUUCCCCAAUUUUUUUCUCUCAUGCUUCGUGUCUCAAAUUCCGAGUCGUGUCUUGAGAGUACGGAAUAUAUAAAGUUCGCCAGAGUCCGAAGAUUGAAGUGCUUUGACUUCGAAUUAUAGAUUGUUGAAUCUUGGAAGAUUGACGCCUACCGAACUACAAGCACAAUAGUAGGGACGAAAUUCUAUCUUUAGAACAUUGCAUUUAUGUAAGCCUCAAUCUCCAAGUUUGUCAGUUAUUCUAACUUUCACUCUAGUUGUUUAUAUUAAUCUCAUAUAUAAUUGAUGUUAUGAAUUUCUUUAUGAUUAUUAUCAUUGGAAUUAUAUUCCUAUUUUUCAUAUUUUCUAAUAUUGCUCCAACAAAAAUAUGACGCCAGAGGGCUGGGAACCUGCCAACCGGUGGGGUUAUAGAGCGGAGUACAAGCGAAAGCAACUAGCUGCAGCAAAUGAGAUUGAUCCUGGAGAUGCCGCGCUGCUUCCGCAUGACAUAUUAAGCUAUGUCAUGUAUCCCGAGCUCGAGCAAGAUGCUGAUGUUAAGUGGAAGAAAAUGGUGAAGGUCUACUUAAAGCAGGGGAAGCUGAAGAAUUGGUUGGCUGUGUGUGAUGUCGACAACUCCUUGUCGGCGGGUUUGGCUUUGGGGCUUUUGUUGCCUCAAUUGAGUGACGAGCUAUGAAGCAUGGAUACGGAUACGGAUACGGCGAUACGAUACGACACGACACGGCGAUACGGAAAAUCUCUAAAAAUUAAGAUACGAUACGCUAUGGAUACGGCAAAUAAAAAUCUAUAUAGCAACAAAAAUAUACAUUUUAAAACAUAAUUCAUCAUUCAAAUUCAAGUACAUUUUGAGUUGUUAGAGAAGGAAAGUUCAAAAUCUAAUCCUCUUUAUACAGUAGAAGAAGUGUGAGAAUCGUAUUCAUGGUUUUAAUUAGAGGGAAGCUCUUUGUAUUUAGCAACUUUCAAUUAUAGAUGUCUCCUAUUAAUUUUCUCCUCCUCAUUACCUUUUUUUGAAAGUGUAAAUGUAUUUUAAAAGCAGGAUACGUGUAUCCUGAAUGUAGGAUACGCAUAUCCAUUAUGUCAAAUUCGUGUCCAUCAACCAGGAUACGUGUCGGACGAGUAUCCGAGAGUAUCGGGCAAGUAUCGUAUCCGAUCAAGUAUCGGAUACGGGAUACGGGACCAAACAGAAGUAUCCGUGCAUCAUAGGUGACGAGCCAGUAAAAAGAUACUUACAAGCUUUUCAUUUAAUUUCUUCAAAGCAUCAAAGUCGAUUUUUGAACUCAGCCUCUGCAAGAAAAAAGAAUGCCAUGUAAAUAAUUGUUGGAUAAGAUAUAAGUUGCAUCAUGCUGGAGGAAUAAUACUUAAACGAAGUAUAUCCAUCAGCUAAUUCCCUUACCUCCUUGUUAUUUAUCACAGUAGAAACUUUGGCGGUUUUUUCUGCAGGUGGAGCUUUCUUGGCUUUUCUGGCUCGUUUUCUGCUCUUUCUCUGCCAAAAUUAUCCAUUGUAUGUAGAAAAUUAGAAAUCGAUAAGUAAGGCUCAAUGCUGGCAGUAAAACAAAGACAGAUAAACAAAAGGGAAAAACUAAAUAAUAAAUCAAAUGCAGAUAAGAUUAAAAAAUAUUAAAAAUGGAUACUUUAGAUGCGGUCCUUAAUCUUUAACAUUCUUUGACUAAAACCUUAAUGGUAUUCAAAGUUUGAUCAAAGUACCUUGACUUUGUACACCUCAUUAUAUUACAAUUAAUAUUUAUAUUUUUAUAGUUUUGACAUUAAUUGUUUGAUAUUUUAUGAGAUUUAUAAUCCUAUAAAUUUAAAAUCCCUCAUUAUAAUACUAUUAUAAACAGUUAUAAUAAAAAAAAUUCAAACAUUUUGAUUGAAUAAAUAGAUAAAACUAUGUAUAAAUAAUAAAUGGCAAAAGAAUGUAUCCAUAGUGUUAAAAAAAUUGGUACAUUUCACAUAUAACAAAGUGGUACAUUAAUAAAGAAGAAUGGGUACAUUAUAAAUAAAUUAGGGUACAUAUAAAAGAUUAAAAAAUUAUGAGUACAAAUGACUUUUUAAAAAAUAUAGGCGCUAAAAUAAAUUAAUACACGGGUACAAAAUAAAACUAAAAAGAAAAUACUACAAAUUUAAAAAAAAUGUUGCAAAUUAAAAGUGGGUACAACCUAAAAAUAUAAAUAUAUAAUACAAAGUUUAGGCAUAAAACAUAAAUAUACCAUAUGUAAUUUUUCUAUCAUUGAUUAAAUAUACAAUGUCACGUGACGGUAUACACAUAGGUACAAACACAAAUAAAAUUUUUAAAAAUAUGGGCACAAAAAGAAACUAAUAUAGGGUACAAAUUAAAAAUGAAAAAAUUUUUGUACAAAUUAAAAAUAGGCACAAACUAAAAAUAAAAAUAUAUGAUAAAAAAUUUAGCCAUAAAUAUAAAUAUACUAAUUGUAACAUUUUUAACACUAAAGGAAUAUAUUUAAAAAUAAAAAUAUUUUAUUAUUCAAAUAAUUAAUAAUGUUAUUAAUACCCAAUGACCUUGAUCAAAAAUUGAAAAUGAAUAAGAUUUUAAUCAAUAGAGUAACAAAAAGAAGGAUGUGAACCUAAUUUCUCCUAUUAAAAAUGUUAACCAUCACCCAAAUACUAAUUUGUAAGCAGGUGUGACACCAAUAACAGUUGAGAAUUUAGGCACAAAAUGGUGAAUAAGCUGAAUGAAUCUUCCAAGCAUACACUUUAGAGAACAAUGCACGCAUGACAGUUUGGAAACAUGCAAGGAUAAACUCAAAUAAAGUAAAUAUUGGGAUGAACCACGAGAAAUUUUUCUAAGUACCUGUCACACAAGCUGACUAGGAGUCCCUUACUAAUAAGCAACUGACACCUAUCCUUCUACUUCUCAAGUGACACUAAAAUACCCAUUUUACCCUUAUAUACAUUUCACAAAAUAAUUAAAUAAUUAAAAAAAAUUGAAGUUGUGGGGUGAGCUCCAACGCUUUCCUGCAAAUCGAAAGUACCCAUUUUUCCAUCGCCCAUCCCCAUAUCCCAUCCCUUUAUCCCUCCACGGCUUCACCAGUCCACCCAUCCUGCCCUUCCGCAUCACCUCUCUCCCUAUCUCUUUCUUUCUCUCUCUCUUCCCCUUUGUAUUUCUUCUAUUUCCUGCUCCAGAAUAAGAACAAAAAAAAUGUCGGCGAACUCCGGCUGAUAGAUCGAGAUUGGCGACAACAGAUCUGAGUUGGAGUCGCCGCCGACAAUCUCUGGGUUCCAUGUAGAGUUAAGAGCGGAAGAGAGAAGGGAAAGGAAAGAAAGAGAAGGUCGAACAGAGAGAAGGAUGAUGAUGCCAGAAAAAUCACCGACCGGUGAUGGAGGUGGGUGCGAGUGGUUCGGCGUCGUCAUGCUCGGGGGCCCCUGAUGUCAUUUUGACUUUAUUUUAAAAUAAUUGUCAAUUUUUAAAUAUAAAAGAAUAAAAUAUACAGAUGUCAAAUGCUUAUUAGUAGAAUUCCAGGUCAGCAUAUGUGACAGGUACCUGGAAAAAUUUCUCAUAAACCACAUAGCUAAGCUAGCCAUACUGAAGGGUAAGGCUAUUCCGUGAUACAAUGAAUAAAUUCAAGGUUUUGGUUAGAAGGUCCUACUUUGAAAGGAAUGAUUUUACUGCAACGAAAUGCAUAAAAAGUGCAAGCAAGACACCAGUUCCAAGAAAUGUGCUCUAUCAUAACUGAAAUUGCCUAUUUAAUGGGGCUUAAGGAUUCAAAAUUUGUUGUUUUACGUGCUUAGGAUCUUAAAAGAAGUAUUCUUCGUAGAUUAGCCAUAGUUUUAAAGAUUAGGACUAAAAACAAGUUAAAUGUCUGGAAGACAAAGGGAUUGUUGCAAAUUUCAGUUAGCAGCAUGCUUUUUGAAUUUGGGGGCUAAAAGUUUGAGAAACCAGAAAGAAAAAAAAAGGUCAAAGAUUAGGGCUUUUGAAUCAAGCACGAAAAGAGGGAGAGCACAAAAGUUCUAGAAAGAGAGAAUUGAGUUAAGAACUUCCAAAAAAUCAUUGAGCUAAAGAGUAAAGGAAGAAUGAAGAGGCAAAGAGUGGAAGGAAGAAAACCAGAAACCCAUACAAGGAAAAUGUAUACCAGUACGGUCAUGAUCAAGUGCAAAAUCCCCUCAAUCGUUCACUCUGAACAGUCAUGGCCAUAGAAAAAAAAAGACGAAAAAUAAGAACAAAACCAUCGAAUAAACAGAAACUACGAAAUUGCCUAACAUUGCACCAAAUCCUUGUGAAAACAAAUGUCAAAAUAUAAACUUGCAAAGGCAUUACCUGAUCGUAGUUCUUGUUAAGUACUUCCCAAAUUAAUCUUUUAAACCGUGCCGCCUCCUUGCUGUUAAGGUAUCCAGCAACCUAAAAAAUAGAAGCAUGAGUUCUUCCAUAUCGAAAUUCACAAACGAAAAAUAGAAGCAACAAUCACAUACGAAUCCAAAUCACUAUACGGCCUACCGAGUAGGCUAUGAUGGAAGUGUUCUCUGAUGGAGAGGUGGGUGUAUCCUUCAGGAUCUCUGCUUUUAUCUUUCAUUAAAUCCCCCCCCCCCUAAUUAUCAGACACGGAAAAUGUGGUCGACUGUCAUGAACCAAGAACGGAACUUUUCACAAUAACUAUGACAUAAAAGUCCAACAACGUAGCAUGCAAAAUUAAUUCUUAUUAUCAUCGAAUAUUUUGGGCACCAACCUUAAAUUUAUCAACUUAUGGAGAAUGGGCGGGCAGACACCAUUCCACGAAAACAAUUCAGAAAAUUGAAAAAAAAAUAAUAAGAAAGCAAUGCCUGCUUUAUCUGCAUACCUCGGAGUCGUCGAUAUCUGAGAGGCUUUCUGAGACAUCGCCAUCCGCAGUUGACAUUGCAGCUUCCCUCCUUCUUUUGUAAACUCUCGGAUCUUUUGAAUUUUAUGUAAUUUUAGGUCUUGGGUUUUCCAGUUUUCAUGGAACUAGAAUUUAUAUAGACAGUAAUGUCGGCGACCAAACAAGAACCGACCUAGUUCGGUUUCCCUUUUAGAACUGGAAUGGUGGAACCCAACCAUGCUGUUCUCAAAUCAAAUCAAAUCAAAUCAAGUUUUGGUUCUUAUUUUUUGAGUGGUGUAUGUUAGAUGUUAGAUUUGGAUCUAGUUUCUUUUUUUUACUGUUUAUUUUAAUGAAAAAAAAGGUAAUCACAGAAUAACAGUCCAAAAUCUACAGUGCUAGGCCCAAAAUAGUAUGGAAAAUAAACCAGGAAACUAGAAAAGCUCAGCUCAAUCUGAAAACCAUGUGGAUUUUUUUGGUAAACAAACCAUGUGGUAAACACAAACGGCAUGCAUUACAUUUACAUUGUAGAAACACAUUAUUAUUCCUAUUGUUGGAACCAAAUUCGAGCACAACCGUUGAUAUACGAAUAAUCAUUGGAAUCUCUUGAAUACCGAUAAAUAAGAGAAUUGUUUGAGGGAUAUAACCAAAUUCGAAAAUGAUUGCCUACAUAUUUCCUCGUCAAAGAGGGAGAAUCAAAUCGUGUAUAGUCCAUGCAUGAGUUGCAUGAGCAUGUAGAGAUGUAUUUGAGCAUUUAUGCUUUAGAUGAGAUAACAGAUAUGCGUUAUAUCUCUUUGGAUGGAAUCCUAGUAGCUUCGAUAUUUAGAGAUGAGAUCCUUCAACUCUUUGUCUUGCUUUGCAUGAAUGCUUAUGCACAUGUAAAGCAACAUAUCAAAGCCAAUAUUCUCAUGCUAUAAUCAUGCAAAUGUAAGGUGUAAAACAAUAAUUCAUUUAGCAAUCCAAACACACAAAGCGUCAUUCACGUCAAAUAAAAUGAUAAGAGUAAGAAUUAAAGUUAAGUAGGUAAAAGAUUAUCUUACCAUCAUAUUGUUCUCCUUAAAAUUUCAUUAUUUCAAUUUUAGCUCUUUCGUAUAUUUCUCCUUCCAUGUUCUUUAUUUUUAGUGUGGAUCAGAUUCAAAACCCUUUUACCCACACCUACUCACAUUUUUUUCCCCAUUAACCGACUCCCUCUCACCUUUCUUUUCAACUCUCUCCCAACCUUCCAAAACCUCUUUAUGUUCCUUCUUUUAUUCCAGUUCUUUCCCUUCCGGUAGGCUAUUCUCAUUAGGGAUGGGCAACGGUUAUUUACUCAUAACCGUUUAUACUUAUACCCGCAUAACCGUUUACCCGUUGGGUAAUUACCUAAACGAUUAUACCCAUACCCAUAACCGUUUAUAAACGGUUAAUCGUACCCAUAACCAUAUACCCAUUUAACCGUAAUCAUUUAAUACCCGUUUACCCAUUUAUCAUUUUUAACCCGUUUAUCUUUUUUUUUUUUGGUCUUUUGAUAUGAGUCCAAUUUUAUAAGCCUAUUUUGAAUGGAAUCCACUUGUAUUACAUAAGCAUAAGUGGGGGCUAGUAAGUACAACAAUAAUCCAUGUCAGCAAUUAAAAUGCACAUAAUUUACCAACAAAAUUACAACAACUGCCAUUAGAUGGUUUAUUAGGUGUCUUGCAGGUUAAACUCAUUGUUUAUUCAAAAGAUCCCAUUUAUUAGUACUCUUGCAGAUCAAACGUCCCCUUUAUCCUUAUCCUCCUAUCUUUCAAAUUUGUUUGCGUCCGUAUCCAGCGGAAACCGGGUUUUGAAUCCUAAAUCCGUAUGAAGCUAUGAAAGCUAUAAAUUUUCUCCCAGUAUAUGAUGGAAACAAAAUAGGCGAUUAUCUGGUUCGGGUUUCCUAUUAUACCUGGAGAACAGGUAGUGUAUCUUCUCGGAAGAUUUCAGCUUCGUACAUCGUAAUCUGGUUUUUUUUUUCGAAUAUUUUGAUUUGGUGAUUUGGGCUUUGUUUUUUGCAGUGUUCGUUACCUGGAUAACAGGUAUUACACUCCAUCGAUUUCAAUAUCAGUAUUUGAUAACAGGUGCUACCGUAUCUUUGCUCUAAAUUUCUUUUCUUUUCUUUUUUCACUUCAAUUGUUCGAGAUUUUAGAGUUUGACGACGAGUAUGAAUUGGUGGCCAGUGUUUACGACGCAUUAGUGAAGGCUUGCACUAGUUUGAAAUCGAUUAGGGGGGUUAAGAGGGUUUAUAAUUACAUAUUAGUAAUGGGUUUGAGUUGGAUCAGAAUACAAAAAACAGGGUGCUGCUUAUGCAUGUGAAAUGUGGGAUGAUGAUUGGUUGAAUUUGUUUCUCUAGUAUUUUGGUAUGCUGCUUUGACUUUUUACUUUUGUGGUGUUUGAUACCUAGAUUACAGGUACUAUAGUUCAUACCCUUUUUUUUUUUUGUUAAACAGUUAUGACUGUGGAGCUACUGUGAUGUAUAUUGCACAAAAAAAAGCUGAUGGAGAAUUAGUCGAAGGUGUCUCUUCGGCAGAGGCAAUGAAGAAUAUGAGAGCACAUGUCCUUUGUAGAUUCAUAAAUGAGGGAGAUGGUAGCUGGGAAAAGGAAGAGUAGGAUAAAGAUGUUAUGCGAAAUUUGAGUUUUUGUUUCAUAUAAGUGUUUCAAUUUAAUAAAUGAUGGGACUCCAAUCCAUCCGAAUUCAUUUUCUGCUAUAUAAGUUUGGAUGUUAUGUGAACUGAGAUAUGCUUUGUCAUAUCUGUUUUUUAAUUUCAAUUUCCAGUGAAAGGGGAUAUUCUUCAUAUUUUCCUUUAUUGAUUUCACAAUAAGAUUUGUUUGUAAUCUCAGAUAAUGUUAUUUUGUCAUUAUCUGGACAUACUUCGUCUGGUGUCAUUUCAAAUUGUACAAGGAUAGGUACUUUCAAAGUGUUGAUAAAACAUGGUUGUCAGUAAUUUUCCUACAUGUUAGGUAGUUUAAAACCGUUUGAAAAAGUAAUGUACCUGUACAACUAAUUGUGUCUUGAAAAAUAAUAUUCUACAAGGAUAGGUAGUUUAAAACCGUUUGAAAAAGUAAUGUACCUGUACAACUAAUUGUUAUCAAGAAAUCAGGAAGAAAGAUGAACUGAAUAAUGAAUUUGAAUUCUGAUAAAAAUUUAAAACGUGGGAAAUAUAUGGAGAACGUGCAAAAGUCAUAGGAGGGUAAAAUAGUAAUAAUAAUGCAAAAAAAUCAACUUAAUCAGAAAAAUUGCUGACAUGGAAUCCUAGUCAUUGGAGCUAAGUCAAAAGUAACUAAAAAUUGGACUAAUUCUAAUGUUGGGCUAUAAAAUUGGACUGAUUUCAAGUUUCCCCUUUUUUUUUACUAUUACUCCUUUUUCAUCCAUCUACAUAUUUUUUAACAACUUGAAAAUUAAAAAAAAAUUGUCAUAAUUUUUUUUUUUUGACAAUUAAACACCGUUAUAGGUACAUUCAUCAUACAUUUCCAUAUUUUAAUUUUUUAAGUCCUUAUACCAUUCCAAUAAUUAAAAUAAUAGUUUAUGGACGAUAUUUUUAACUGUUACCAAGGAAGGUAAAUAUAAUAUUUGCUAAGUAUUAUUGGGUUACAAAAAUUGGUUAGAAGAUAUUUAUGUCAAAGUAUUUCUGUCAAUUUCACGGUUACCCGCAAGGAAUUUAAAUUAAUUUGGCAAAUUCCUUGAUGAUGAGAAUCAUCAUUCCUGUAGCAGUGCUAUUGAGAGAAUGACCGAUGAAUUCCUUACUAAUUUAUUGGGUGCUAAGUAUUAUUAGAUCUAAAACAUGGUUUGUGUUAGUUUUACAUAUAUAAAAUAAAUGGGUAAACGGUUAUCCGUUUAUAACCGCGGUUAAUACCCAUAACCGCCCAUUUAAAUUUCGCGGGCCAUAACCGUUUAUUUAUCUAAACGGUUACCUAUAACCAUAACCGUUUAAUUUAAAUGGACGGGUAACCGCGAUUACCCAUAAUCAAUGGGUAUUUGCCCAUAUGUAAUUCUCACACCUUCACUUCCCACAAACACCCCCUUCUUUCUCUUAUCACAGAAUCACAGAUGACAAAUUACAAAACAACACUCUUCUCUCUCUCUCUCUCUCUCUCUCUCAGUUGUUUUCAUUUUUAUUCACUUGUUGCUCACACUCUUUUCUUUUCUUUUCCUUGCCUCUCACAACUCCCUCGACACCUCUCUCUCUUUCCUUCUUUUAUGCUUUUCUUCAACCCCUUAUCUUCUAUAAUAUAGCUGAAAAUUUGCAUUUGUAACAGGAGUAGAAUUGGUUAGCAACAUAAAAUGGAGAUGUAGGCCAAAGAGGCUGGCUGAGAAGGCCAGCUCAACCGUAUAUAAGCUGCUCAAACUGAUGUAUAGGCCAACAUACAGAUUAGGUUGUCGAGAUGUUUGGAUAUUUUAUAGAAGAGAUGAUAAGGAACAAUUUUUGUGAAAGAAGUGUUUUUGUUUGAUCACAGUAAAUUGGAUUUUUAAGCUCCAAACAUGACUCUAAGGUUUUCUGCAGAUUUUCAAGGCUGUCAUGGUAUUUUGAUAAUCUGGAAUGAAUGGACAGUUAGAUCUUUCUGAGACUUUGAUAUGUUAAGAUAGAGAGAAUAAGGAACAAUUUCUAUGAAGAAAGUAUUUUUGAUAUGAGCAAGAGAAAAUGUAGUUUCGAAGCUCACAACAGGCCUGACUGGUUGAUUGAUGAGUGCUGAGCAGUCACUGAUUAUACCUGAGUUUCUGCAGUUAUACAGCUCCUAUGGAUCUCAUAUUUGGAUAUGUUGUAUAUAACGAGUUAACAAACAACUUUCUUGAAGACGGCUUUUUGAUUUGAACUAUAGAAAAUGGUAAUUUGAUCUGCAAAACAGAUAUGACGAAUUUCUGGUUCUUGAAAUUCUUUCUCUUGAUAACUAGAAGAAGAGAGAUUUGUUGGUUAAGCUCUUAUGCAUUUUCUGGGAUUUGUAUGUGAUUUCUUUCUCAGGAUUCUCGUUGAAAAAUAGAGGGAUAUUUGGUGGUGCUUCACGGAGUUGGAUAAUGGUGUUUCACUAGAACUUGAUAACACAUUCACAUAAACACACAGUAUUGGAGUGGUUCGGCAAAGUGACUACAUACAUUGGGGUUUGCUUUCAUUUGUAUUUCACUAUAUAUGAGAGACUUACAAAUACAAUGAAAGAUGACUUAAAGCGUUUACAUAAGGUAAAAGAAAUGGAUGAUGAAAUAGGAAUGGUCUGAGAAAGAGAACAUUCUUUUUGCUAGUGUGUUCUUGCUGGUGUGGUGUUCUCCCUUUUUUUCCUCAUGUCCUUCUUCUAGUUCUUGCCCCUUCCUUUAUAGGGAUCAUAUGAGAUCUUCCUUCUCACAACAUGUACAAUCUAACUUGAGGAUAAAAGCUCCCUAGUGUCCCAAUAGAAAGACACCAAGUAUUGUGCACAUUAUUAGCCAUAAUAUGUGUUCGAAUAGCAAGACAAUUGUGUUAAACUAAUCAUUAAUAAUGAUAUGUGUUCCAAUAACAAAACAACAUGUGUUGAGCUAAUCAUGAACAAAAAAAUAUCAUGUAAGAUGGAUGCAUGUCUAAGGCCACUUACGUUAAAGUUUAUCUUAUGGUAAACUUGUUGUAACAAAACAUAUGGUAACUCUACAAAUUGGUAGGAUAUCCAGAUGAAUCGAUGAUGGUGAAUUAAAAGCUCCAAAACCCAUUGUUAUAAUCACACCUCAAACUAAAACCAAAAGAGUAGCAAAGUAUUUAGUUGCUAGUGGGACGCAAAUGAGAAAUACAAAGCCUAACAAAUCAAUCUACAAAUAAAGUGAAACAUAUAUGUAUUUGUUAACUAUUGAAAAAAAAGAACUUGGUAAAUCAAACUUUAGCGCAAAACACAAAUUAAAAGUACUUUGACACUUAUAUAUAUAUAUAUAUAUAUAUAUAUAUCCACUUUUUAAAAUACAGAGUAUUACACUUGUUUAAGUCCUUUCACGAUCUAGCUUAACAUACACGACAUUGUUCUCCUUUUAACUCCAAACAUGAACUUUCCCUUCCUAAAAACUUAGGCUUCAAAUCAUUUCAAUUGUUGCCUAAUUUUUUAGGGAGGAAAACUCAUAUUUGGAUCCAAAAGUAGAAAAUGUUAUGGAUGUUAGACCUGAAUCGUGAAAAGAUCGUAACUCUAUAACAAAUAUACUUUUGAUUUUGAAUUUGUUUUUGUAUUGCAUAUGGUUCAAUAUUAUUAAGUUUCCACCCAGGUGUCCCAGCUUCGGAAUUCUCCCCUUAUAAGUUAUUUAAAAAAAGGUAACAAAUUGAAAUUUGAAUAAAAGUUAAGGUGACAAAUAAAAAAUUUGCCUUUUCUUCUCUAUUCUGCAACUAGACCAUCAACAUCAAGGCUCAAUUUAUAGGAUUUGGAUCCUCUUUUGAGCAAAGGAGACGGAGCCUCCUAACCCAAAUACACAGACCGUUAGAUUUUGAUCAAACGACUACAAUUAUUUUAACUUUUAGAAAGGCCUCCUAUUUGUAACCGUUUGAUCAAAAUUCAACAGUCCGUGUCUUUAGGUCAUGAGGAUUCGUCUCCCUUACUCAGGAGAGGAUCCAAAUCCCAAUUUAUAGACCCAAAAAGGCCUUAUUAAAUUAUUUGAAUUCCCUGAACACAUUCUUAAAUUUUAGUGGUGGGAUCUUCAUCCAGUGGUGGUGGUUCAUGAACAUAUCUAUUAACCUUUUGUAUGAAUAAGUAGAAUAUACAUCCAUCUGCUAAGAUAUAUUCAAAUCUGGCAUGCCAGUCCCCUGCCCACUACCAAAAGCCAGAGCUAAAGUAUAAUUAUAAUUAAUUAUUAAAAUGUGUUAUAUAAAAGGAAAGGGUCCAAAACAAGUACAAGGGUGCACAAAGGGAUAAAAGGAGCAUGCAGAAAUCAUUUCCUAAUAUUUAUCACCUUCCUUUUCCUCUAAUGCCAGCGAGCAGUGAUUGAGUGACGUUUACAGGAGAAGAUGCAGGGUCAAUCCAGGAAGUGUUAGCACCACUUGCAUUGCUGCCUCCUGGCUGAUAGUUGAGGCGAACAUUACUAUCCCUGGAUGCAGUUGAUGGGGUAUCAUCCUCCACCAAAAAUCUACCUGUUGGCAAUGUUGUUACAUCUUUAAAAUCAUAAUCUGUCAAAUAGCUUGGCUUCAACAUGAUAGUGCCUAUGUCAAUGUCUCCAGAGAGCAUUGCAACCACGCGUGACAUAGAUGGCCUUGCCAUCGGUGAUCCCUGCGUGCACAGGAGAGCUGCUCUUAUCAAUCUAGUUGCUUCAGUUUCAUCAAACUCUGUCAAUCUUGGAUCCACCAGCCCCAGAGUUUGGUCAUUUUCAUGUAGAGUCCAUACCUGAAAAACAUUAUGCCACGGUCAAAGGAAAGUAUUAAGUUUUUCACAACACUUCCAAAAUGAAGCUAGGGGGAUGCAAUUCCUACCCAUUCAAGAAGAUAAAUCUUUUUUGGAUCCAAGUUAUUGUAAGAGUUUGGUCUCCCGCUAAGGAUCUCCAAAACAACGACUCCAAAACCAACACAUCGGCCUUCUCUGUCAAAUGUCCAAACAAUGCAUACUCCGGUGCCAAAUAGCCUCUGCAAUGCAAGAUAAUAAAAUGGUUGCACAAUGUUGCUUGAGAUCAUUAGAGGCAUUAUUAACAUGUGUUCAAAUUUCAUGCAAGUAUAAAUGUGUGUGGCCAUAAUAUAUGUAUCCUCUAGAAAAACAAUAAAGGAUGGCUAACAUUGUCCCUGCAACCCGGGUGCUGAUGUGGGUUUUCUCGUCAUCAUAAAGCUUUGCCAGUCCAAAAUCUGAUAUUUUUUGGGAGAGUUCUGCAUCGAGCAAAAUAUUACUCGCUUUGACAUCGCGAUGUACAAUCCUUGGCCUUGACUCCUCAUGAAGGUAAGCAAGUCCUCUUGCUGUUCCCAACAAUAUAUUGAAUCGAGUCGGCCAGUCAAGGUGCAAGUUACUUGUUCCUGAAAUAUUAGUGAACACAUCCAAUCAAAAACAUUUCUUAACAAUUUUAGAGUGCUUGAAACUGCAGACAAUGUUGUUUCUAUGCAACCUAAAAGUAGAUAGGUUUGUACCAAAAAGUGCUUGAUCAAGGCUCUUGUUUUCAAGAUACUCAUAAACCAAAAUGCGUUGGCUGCCUUCAAUGCAGCAUCCAUACAAUUUCACUAGAUUCCGAUGUUGCACAGCAGAUAUGGUAGAAAUUUCUGAUACAAAUUGACUCUUCCCUUGGUGAGAUGCUACUGAAAGUUGCUUCACAGCCACUACUCUCCCAUCAGAAAGUGUACCCUAUAAUGUACACAGAAACACAAUUUAGUGACAUGAAAGGAAAGAAAAAAGAAGCUUUAUUUUCUUCUCUCGCUCGCUUUCCCUUUCUCGUCAUUACUUCAAGUACAUGAUACUGAUGUAAUACGGAUUUCACCUUGUAAACAGGGCCAUAUCCUCCUUCUCCUAACUUAUUUGAAGGAUUAAAAUCUUCGGUUGCAACUCUCAACUCAGAAUAACUAAAAGUAUUUGGUCGAGGGCCUAAUCCUAGAAUAUCUGCACAUUCACGAAACAGUGUGACAUAAGUUUUACUUUUGUAAAAGCAUUCCUACUUCUGUGUGUUAAUGUCAAAGCAGAGAAACCUGAAUUGGAUACCACUAAUAAUAUGGUCGUUUACCUUCGUCAUCCUCUUUUUCUGAUUUUUUCCUCCUCAUAUAUAGAAUCGCAAAUAUUAAUAGCAAGCUCACAACUCCAACAGGAACUGCAAUACCAACUAUCAACCCAGUCCUGCUCUUCUUUCCUGGGGUAGUUGGUGGAAGCCCGGAAACUGUUGGUGUAAAAUCUGAGUGAUAAAACAGACGAAUUCUUCAGUGUCGAUUAACAGUAGAAAAAUAUAUUUAAACCAUUCACAAGAAAUCUCUACUAGUUAACACAAAUUAUACCUGAAGCAGCAUGGACAGCUGCUAUUAGUGAGCCGUAAUCACCUUGAUUGGGUAUGCAACAAGUCCCUUUACCAGCCCAGAACAGAUGAAUUUCAAGAUAAUUCUCUGACACGCUAACAUUGAAUCUUUUCAUAAUUCCUAGGUUAACCCCACCUGCCUCCUUGGAUAUGUCAAAGUCCUGCAUCCUGCAGAUACCCUAGCAACCAAAUGAAGAGCUAGGUCAUAAUUCUAGUCUCCUUUAAAUCAUGGAAGACUUUGGAUGCAGUCCAUAACUACCAAUGUUUUUUGACUGAAACCUUGAUAGUUUUUUGUUUUUUAUUAAAGUAGCUUAAACUAUCGAAAACCUGUCCAAUGAGUCUUUACUUCAAAUAAGAUAGAUUUUUUUUUUCCAUAAGCAGCCAUACCUGAAUAUAGAUGUCAAAUACACGCCGUCCUAGACUUUCCCAAGUUUGCUGAAUGCGCCUAUCAAAAACCGUCUCUGCAAAGUGCAAUGUUACAGUGUAAGGUCCAUUCUCAAGACCCAGGCCAUAGUAUCUCAGUGAUCCUGGGGACAAUCUUGAAGUCUGGAAAAGCUCUGGGGUCACAUCUGUUCCGGUGACUUGUGCAAGGGUAUUUUCCAGAAACGAUCGGUUCACUCCGUCAGAAAACAUACCGACAUUGCUGACAGCCCAUUUCUCUGUACUGGUUACAUUGAAUGUUGCUGGACCAAGAGCUGAGUCUUCGGCCUCAUACGAUAUGCCAUCACGUCCCUUCAUUUCCGGUCCACCACAGUUGAUUGAGAAGUUUGCAUCUGUAAGUUUCAUGUAAUACCAGAAUCUACCCAUGAUUAGCGAUGAAACUUCAAAUUGAAGACUCGUACUAAUGUUUUUCAGUCACAUAUUUGUGACCAGAGAAGCAAUCUAUAUCCAUAUGUAUACAUAACCAGAGAAGCAAUGCCUUCUCCUCUAACAUGACGUUGCGUUAAAACAGUAAAUGUUGGGUGACAUAAAAGCAGAUUACAUCGUGGGGCAUUUCGAUUGCAUGGAAAUUUUUUCUGGAGGCAAUUCAAUCCAGGAAGAGUAAUGCAAACACAGAGAACAAUUAUUAGUUAUCCAGAUAGAAACAUAUAGUGGAAGAGUAGUGAUAGUAUUGCUUGUCUAAAAACCGGCAACAGAAACUUCAACUCACGUUAUGUUUUUUUUGUCAAAUGUGAAGUUGUUGACCACUAAGUUCCUGCAUAAAAUCAUUAAUCAAUCAACAUGUGAAGAAAUAUAUCUCUGUCAAAUGAAAAUUCCAUGUACUCUCAAAACUUAAUAGGCAAGUAGCACUGUGAGAACGAAUCGCAGUGAUAUUUUUUGUCCCAACAUAUUCUGGGGAUUUAAACUGUAAAAUGAAGGUGAAAGAUAAAAGGUGAUGUACAGUUGCGAUAUUGUGGUCACCCACUGGGGAAAGCUACCUGAUAAAAAAUUGUAAGACAAAUCUCUGCAAAUAACAAAAUAGAAUCAUAAGACACAAAAUACAUGAAAGUUAUAAGAACUUGUGUAAGAUAAAGGAUUAGAAUGCUUAAAAAAUGCACAAACACAUACAUGCACGUGCAGACGCACGUACAAAGUACUGGUUUCAGUGUCAAUAGACUCAGUACAUUCUAUAUGACUACUUUUAAUACAUGAGGACUUACAUAGUUUGAAGUCGAUUGCUCUUUUGGCUCGGAAGAGGUCCGGACAGACUAUUGUUUCCAAGAAACCUGGCCAUUUCGAUUAUAGUAGAAGGCACCCAGAAAAGAAAAAGAGAUGAGCAAGAAAAAAGUCAGAUGUGCACAAAAUCUAGAAGGAUUAGUCCAGAUCUUCAAUCAAAGUAGGGAAUGUUAAAGAUUUGAUAACUUAUGUAGGCAAGCAAAAUAUAAUACUAAGGAUGGGGAUUACAAGGAUGUAAGAGAACUCAAGGUGAACAAAGAACUUGGGAGUUGGCCUAUCAAAUUGUUGAAACUCAGAUCCCUGCAACACCAACGAUAAGUUGAGAGGAGCAAUCAGAAUGAAAGAAAACUAAUUGGCCUCGUUGGGACUCAAGCUUAUAUGCGCUGGUACGUACAGUAUCUGUAGACUUUGAUAUUCUCCAAUAUCAGAUGGGAUGGUACCAGUGAUUAAUGCAUUUCGUAGUUUUCUGUUAUUCACAUCAAAUUUGAUAAAAAGUAGAUGGAGUAAGAUAUCAAAAGGAAAAAGGAAAAAGUUGGAUGAAAGUAUAUGGAUUAUGGAUCGACAAGAAUCUUCACUUACAAUUCAGUCAAGUUCUUCAUUUUUUUAAUGAAAUCAAGAGAGGAGCUCCCAUCGUAUAUAUCACUGAUAUGCCUACAUCAUUAUAUGCAAAAUAACUGAAAUCCCGUCUUCGGAGAAAGAGAAAGAAUUACAAUUUAUGAAGCAUUUGUACUUACAGAGAGUUCAAUGAGGUCAGCUGAGAAAAGCUGGUUGGUAUUGGGCCUUCCAAAGAGUUCCCUUGAAAUCACCUACGGAAACAUAUAAGAAGCUUGUGAACAAAUUAUCCAUCUCAGGUCUGCUUUCAUAAACUGCAUAAGAUCAAAAUUUUAUGUGGCUUACAAAGAAGUGAGUUGUGUCCAAUUCCCUAUGAAAUCAGGUAUCUUUCCUGAGAAAAGACUGUCCGUUGCCCAACUAAAAUUCAAAAAGUUGACUUAUAAUAAGCUCAUCCAAGAAAAGCAAUCUCAUAGUACUAGAUAAACGAACAAAUCUAAAAUACGAUUUAAGAGCCGUUCUUACAAGAUUUGCAUACUGGUGAGCUUGGCAAAUGUUGAAGGAAUUUCACCACUGAGUCCACAGCUGUCCAUGUAACUGUGAAAAUCUUAAGGCAACUGAUUAAUACCCAAUUUAUACAAUAAGGUGCAAUUUUUGCUUAUGCAUAAGGAACUAACAUGUAAUUCAAAUUUGAUGAUUUAACGAACCACUUACAUUUGCUGGAGCUUGACUAAAUUACCAAGUUCUGGAGGGAGUGUUCCGGAGAAAUUAUUUGAUCCGAUGGCCCUGCAAGUCAUGUUGAACAGGCAAACAAUUACUUGAAAGCAAUUAUUGAAGAGUGAUAGAAGGUUCUGUAUGUAAUGUUUAUGACACAAAAUUUUACUGUAGGCUUUCUCAUUUUUCAUGGCUUACAGCAUAUUUAGCUCCGUAAGGUUUCCAAGCUCCUUGGGGAUGGGCCCAGAGAAUGAAUUGUGGCCAAUUGACCUGAAUGGAGAUAUCAGUUAACUAAAGAUAAGCACCAUUACAUUACAAGAAACUAGGACUGCAUUAUUCAAUAAAAACAUAAUGGUUUUGUGUAGAUUACGGGGUACAUAAUAGAGAAAAUAUAUAAAGAACAUAACUGUAGAUUAUGAUAUUCAAAAUGAAGUAUACAAAUUGCGACGAGUCUCAUCAGAAGUAUGAGUACUUAAACAAAUUUUCUCUCACUACUUACAAUAUAAUCAAUGCAGACAUAUUGCCAAUGAAUCCCGGUAGGGGACCUUUGAAAUAAUUCAUAUCAAUUUUCCUACAAAAAUUGAAACGAAAUGUAAUCAUUAACCCUUAAUCUUACGACAUCACUAUAUUUUUAAUUUCCAAUUGAUAAUUUUGAUGAACCAAAAACAGAGAAGGGAAUUGGAAAAAAUUCAUACAAAACUGCGAGAUAUCUUAGAUCCAAAAAUUCUUCUGGAAACACCCCUCGUUUGUACAGAGCAUGCACUCUCCUGGAAAGCAAAAAGAUUGAACAUUUAGAACUUUAUAAAAUGGAGUGGCACAGUCAAAUUAUUGACUAAUAUAUAUAGGUAUAGCUAGCGAAAAAUCAGCAUUGGCAUAGAAAUCUUGUUCAUAAAGAGAGAGUAGUUUAACAUACAGUUUGGUGAUGUGGCAUGUAGUAUCGUUGUCAUAAGUACAGUCGCAAGCGAUGGCUGGGUUGUUAUCGGGGAUCUCAAAUUCGGUGCCGUUGAUGGCAGAUCCACUGCAGGGUUCUCCACUGGUAUUCCACAGUCCCGACACUGCUUGUGUGUCCCAUUGUUCAAAUAUUGAGUUCAACGCCCUCACUGCACACUCAGUUAAUUCAGUCCUUGUGUGUAUUAGAUUAUAUCACACCAUAAUUUGACUUGUGUUACCACUUACCAGACUAUCUCGAAUCAAAUGAGAGAUCAAAUUGAUUAUUACAAAGGAAAAUGUGGCAAAGUGUGUGUGUAGGGGGGGAGAGAGAGAGAGAGAGAGAGAGAGAGAGAGAGAGAACCUUCAGAUGGAUCAGUGGUAGCAUUUUUAGCAAAGGACAGCUGAAACCAGAAGCGGCUGAGGAAGCAGAGUAAUAGUAUCCUCAUCAUCAACUUCAUCUUCAUAUUGUAAAUGUGCAGAACUUGCUCUCCUCGACGGCGUGAAACUAAACGGCCAACCCUUAUAUUCCGACUGGCUGAAUCUUGCAUGUAAAAAGAAGACCAUAAGGCCUCGUUUGGCAGCUCAGACUGUACUGACUAUUUCAGUCGGAUAGGAUAAAUAAUCAUCGGAUAGUACUGAAUAAUUAGUCGGGCAUUUGGUGCUUUCCCGGAUAAAUCUGUACAUCGAAUAAUAUAUCGGAUUACAAUAAAUUUCUAAAAAAAAAAAAUCACCGAAUAACUAAUGUUAAAAUGGAAAAAAGGACCAAAGAAAAAAAUCCUCAUUGCACCGACAAAUUAAAAAACAAAACAUAAAAAAGGAAGGAAAGAAACCCAGGUUUCUCUCAUAGUUGUGUUAUCCUUUCUUCAUCAUCAUCCCCGCACAUCAAAUCUCACUCUCUCUGCCGAACCCAUUUCCUUAUUUCUUAAUCUCCCAAGACCCAAAUGGAUUCUCCGCACCAAAAUCAAUUUGUAAGAAAUAGACAAAUCAGCCAAUUUCAUAAGAGAGGGAAUAGAGAGCAAACAGAGAAAGGGAGCGGAAAAAAGGACGAAGAAGAAUGAAGGAUAACAUAUGAAUUUGAGAGGAAGAAGAAGAACAAGAACAACAUAUGGAGUUCGUUCUGGAUAGAGGAGAGAACGGAGAAGGCACAAAUUUAUUUGAGAGUGAAGAGACAACGCGAUUAAAUUUUCCUGGGCUUUUGAGUUUUGAACCUGUUAAAUUAUCCUUAGCUUUUGGAGUGUAUUAUUUAGCAGGUGUGAGCCGGACUAAAAAGUGGGCCCGGGAUAUAUAAUCGGCCGGCUAAUUAAUUCAAAACUGCACCAAACACCUGUCUCGCACUAUUAAUCCUAUCCGGAGUCUAAUACGGUGUCCCAAACGAGGCCUAAGAUUUUAGUCAUAUAUUGACAACGUGUGCGUAUAUACUUAAAUUUUGUCCAAGUUGUAGAUCAAUGGCGGCCAACACCUUUUUAAAUUUCCCACUUGGAGUUGGCUAAGGCUUUGAUCGUAUUAGUUGAAUUGUAUAUUGUCGUAUUAGACAUUGAGCUGCUUUAGUGUGGAAAUAUUUAUGUACAAUUCUAGAUUGUUAAUACUUUUCUGGUUGAAAAUAUCAAGGGAUUUAUGUACAAUUCUAGAUUGUUAAUACUUUUCUGGUGGAAAAUAUCAAAGGAUUGACUUACGGAUCAACAUUCUGACUCGGUCCACUACUAAUUAUGGAGAGGGAUUUUUAUCCAUAGCGAAAGAACAAAGGAUUAAUUCCCUGUUAGUUGGUGAUUUUGAUAUGACAUCUAACGAGGAUGUCAUCAUGACAAUAUCUUAAACUAAUCACAUUAUUAUGUAUAACAAAAUUGAAUUGUAACUUUGGUCUAAAAUGGGCGACUCUAAGCAAACAAGGAUUCCUGCUUUGGAAGGAUGGGAAAAGAACGUUCAUUAUAAGCAAAAAGACUGUUUUCACGACUCGAACCUGUAACAUUUCGGUCACAAAGAAGCAAAUUUUGCAUUGCACCAAAGCUCGCCCUGAAUUGUAGCUUUAGUCAAUAAUCUAAAAUUUUAUUAUAGCUAUACAUGUAUUCGACAAAAUAUGAAACACUGGUUAUUGACGCUAAUUCUAUGAGAAUUUUUAUUAAAAGGAGCAUACAUGCAAUUCUCUAAUUUACUCUUCUUAAAGGUAUUCCUCGGAAUUUUGGCCAAAAUUCUUAGCGCGAUAGACUAAUGCUUAACAUAUGUCAAACUUAAAUACUAUCUCUAAUAGAUCUUUAAUUUGCAUACUAAAACUACAAUCAAGUCAUAAUUCACAAAUUAGUCUAGUACAUUAAUUUCCUCCUUUUCAAUGUUAGGUAAAAAAAAAUACUGUUCAUAUCAAAGACUCAUACUCAUCCUCGCAAUCGUAUCAAUAAGUUCAUCUCUCUUAGCAUAAAAUAAAAUUGACAGGUUUUAUCAACCAGUUAUACGCAUUGGUUGGGAAAGGCAAGGGAGACACAUAUACUGCCUAAGUGGAAUCCGGAUCCUCACAGAGAUCUAUAAAUCGUGUUUGUUUAGCGUACUUCAUGUGGUCAAAAAUUAUUUUUAAUUUUUUAUUUAAAAUGAAAUACAUACAGCAUUUGACGAAAUUUAAUCAUAUAACGUACGAUAAACAGAUAUAAUUCACAUAUCUUCAAGAACCUCACGAGAAUCCAAAGAAUCAUGUUAGGCCUAAGUGGCCUUUGGUGUAUGACACGUAGGUUGCACAUGCAACGCGAUCAACUUGCGGAUCAACUUGCGGUCAGAGUUGACGAGUCUUCCAAAAUGUUCAAUAAGUUUUUUUUGGUAAAAAAAAAAAGUUCAAUAAGUUUAUUCAUGGAUAAGACAUUAUAUAAGGGAUUAAUCUCAAUUUAUUAUUAUAAAGUUUUAUGAUUUUUAAUAUUUGUUAUAUUAAAUUUUUUUUAUCCUAAAAUCAUACCUACUAAUUUCAUACUUCCGUUAAACUGAUUGUUAAGUCAUGUCAACAAUAUGUUACGCAUCAUUAAAGUCCACGUGAAUGUUAAAAAAAAUUAAAAACUAAAAAAUUAAAAAACUAAGAAAAAAAAAAAUUGAGCGAUGAUGCAGCCUGCUGGUAUCUUUCUUUCUCUUCUCUCCCUCAAAUCUCAUAUACCCAGCAACCCUUGCCCUCGCGACCUCGUAACCGUCGCCCUUCGUCUCGCUGCCACUAGCAAUGGGUGGGCGGAGAUCGAUUCGGCCACCAACGGAGGAAUUGAAAGGGAAAAUAAAGCGUGACCGAUGAUAAGCCUAUCGAUCCGAUUUGCUCCGAAGAAUUAGAAUUCUUUGUCCAUGGAGUUUGCCCAUUUUACUUUUUCCAAAUCCAAUUUCCAUCGUGCGUUUUCCUUUGCCCUUCAAAAAAAUUGCAGAAAUUUGGGAACGAAGGUGAAGGCAGAGAAAUCCCGCUCAUCUCUUCACUCCAAGGCCAAAUCCCACUCAUUAGAUUUUCAUCUCUUCUACCUUAAUCCAAGCCGCGGUGGAGCUGGGCAAAGCCGAAGGCAUGCCAGACUCACCAGUCCAGAUCCCAACCAUUUAUUUUCUGCCUGAACCACCCAGCCAACCCCGAACCACCAGGACCCGCACAUGUUGCUGCUCGACCCGUCGCAAGCUCGCGCCUGCCUGACCACCCGCCAGAACCACAAAAGUUGCACCUCCGUCGCACCCAGAUCGGCAGAAGAACUAAUUGCAGAAGAGUGAAAAAGGGACGGGGGAGAGGAAGCAACUAUCCCCACCUUUUUCUAUUUUUUUUUUUUUUAAUGUUUCUUAAAUUUAUUAAUUUUUUAAGUUUUUUAAAUGGGAAAAUUAGAAUCCCCUACAACUUUUUUAUAUCUUUUAGACUAAACAUUUGUGCCUUUUCAAAAUUUGAUUAAAGUGCUUUGACCAAUAGACACCUCACAAUUUUCUGUUAAAUUAAAUUACAUAUCAUUAUUGUAUUUUCUUAAAAUAAAAUGUUAAUUAUUAAUUUCUAAAUUAUCCUCUUAUGUUUUUAUGCGUUUUUCCCCUUAUUUAGUGGAGUAUUAGUUAUUAACUCUAUUAUCCCUUUUUCCAAUUAUAAUUUUUUGAUCAAAAUAAUUUUUUUGUUCUACAAACAUUAAUAUUAUCUAUUUUUGUCAAAUGGUUGGCGAUCCAACAAAGCACUGUGUAAUUUUUCCCCUUUUUUUUGUCAAACUAUUUUUCUUUGUUUUUUAUUUUUAUUUUUUUUAUUUUUACUUAUAGUUGUUGACAAACUAUUAUUAGGUACAACAUAUUAUGUGUAUACUGCCGUUAGGUACGUUUUAAUUUGUAAAAAACAUUGAUUGGUACGUUUAUUUGCAGUUUUGGUACGUUUGAUUUGGUACAUAUUGUUGAUAUUGGUACAUUACUUUUGAUUUUGGUACGUUUGAUUUCAUACACUUUAUUUAUUGGUACGUUUAUAUUGUUGUUAGUCCUAUUUUCUCUUAAUGUAUUGAUAUAAAAAAUUAUAUUGGUACAUUUGAUUUCGUGAGAUUUAAAAAUAUUUUCAACCCUUUUGGGAAUAAAAUAUUAAAUCGUAGAAAUCAUUGCUAAAUUGUAGGAAGUAUUGUGAAAAUAAAUUGUAUUUAACUAGGGUUUUUUUGUUUACAAUUAUCUCCAAAGGGGGAGAAGGUAAUCAAAAUGCUUGAUUAUAGGAAGUUUGUUCAAUACGCUGUGCACUUUUUUGGCGUGAGAUUAAGAAAUAUGGAGUAGUGGCAGGUCAUGUAAUUUUGGUAUAAAAAAUGAUUAAUUCUAAUAUAUGUGGCAACAAAAUGAUGAGAACAAGAGUUUAAUCAAAUCUCUAAAAGGCAUAGAUGUUUAGUAUAUAAAAUUCAAAAAUAAGGCACCUAUAUCAAAACAUCUCUUUUUAAAUUUUAAUUUUUUUGUAAUUUUCACGUAGAUCUUUAAUGACACUUCGAUCAUUGUUCACAUGAGCAUAACGUUAUCAGUUAACAGAUGACAUAAACAACUUCACGAAUGUAUAAGAUUAUCUGAAAAUUAAGACUUGAUGUAUGACUCUGAAAUAAAAAAAUAUUUAUAUAUCAAAUAUUGAAAAUUACGAAAUUUUAAGUUAAUAAACUGAGAUGAAUCUUUAUAUAAAAUAUGCAAAUAAUUAUUAGAUAUUGGCAAACCACAGCAAUUUUUUUUUUUUUUUAAGCAAGCAAAUGGACUGGGAAAUAUACUGCUUUCGAAUGCAUCUGUUGAUCACAGUUAAGGAUGAACUUUAACAUUUCAAAAGAGAGAGCCAGCUAGCUAGCAGUUGAUCUCCUGUAUUUUAUAGGUGUAUAUCAUAUGGAGAGAGAGAGAGAGAGAGAGAGCCGACCUGCUGUUGAAGCAGAAGGGAGGAGCUGAAGCAGAAGCAAUCAAAAAACUGGAAGGAAGAGAUCAGAGAAUCAGAGAUGGCGGCUGCUUCGCCCACUAGUUCUGAAAUUCAUCCCGUCUCUCUCCUCUCUCUUUUUCCUACUAAGAGCCAAUGAGAAUGAAGAGGAUAAUUCCCACCGUGGCACCGUGGGAGUAGUGUACAUACAUAUGGACCUGGAUUGUUUGCCUUUCUAUCAUUUUCUAUUUUUGUGAUCACGGUUAAGCCACGUUAACAUUUUAUAUUAAUUUUUUUAUAGAAAUAAUAAACCACGUUAAUAUUUUAUAUUAAUUUUUUUUUAUAGAAAUAAUAAGACAAAAAACAAUGAAAAUAUAAAAUGCUAACAUGGCUUAACAGUGAUCACAAAAAUAUGAGAGAAUAAGAAUAGUAUGGAAUGAGGAGGGCAAACAAUCCAGGUCCCAUAUAUAUAUAUAUAUAUAUAUAUAUAUAUAAUGGUAUAAUCAAAGUUCUAAAAAACGUUAGACGCUAGUCAGGUUGUGGGAUGGCGCCUAGCGCCUAAGCGGCUAGGCAAGCGCCUAGACGGUCUAGGCGGAUUUAGGUAAAUUUCUUAUAUUUUAUAUAAAUUAAUUAAACUUACUAUAUCAGGUGUAAAUAAUUAUUGAAUAAUAUAUUAUUUCUUAUAGAAGAACAUACAUAUGUGAAUGUUUUAUGUACAUAUAUAAUAUGCUUGCCUAGGGAAAAAAAUACAAAAUAAUAUCUAAAUUAACAUUUAUAUACAUAUAAUAUAGAUAUACACCCCAAACUUUUAAAAUAUAAAAACCCACACAAGUGGGUGGUUUUCAUGAUAAAACCAUCUGACCCUUUAUAAUAUAUAACUUUUAAAAAUAUCAAAAGCUCACGCAAGUGGGGUGGUUUUCAUGAUUACAACUUGACUUGUAAACGGAUCGGGUUUAUUGAGUUUGGAUCGGAUUUAACCCGACUCAUUAAGCUAACGGGUCAUCCGAACUCAAUCCGUUAAACUUAACAAGUCACCCGAAUCCAACUCGUUAAGCUAACGGAUCAUCUGUUUCAACCCGUUUCACCCGUUAACCACCAUUGAAUUGAAAACCAGAGAUGUCUUUUCUGGAAGUGGAGACCGCAAAGCGAUGAAUCCAAGACGAUGUGAUUGUCCUGCACAUGCCACCAUUGAAUUUGAAUCCUCUCUUCCUCCUUCUCCAUGCCUGCAAAAAUAAAUUCAGAAAUUAAAUAUAAAAAAUAAAAGCAAAAACCUGCAUCUUCCCAAAUGAAACCCGAAGUGAAAAAUCGAAAUUUUAACAGUUGAAGGAAGCUUACAAUGAGACGUUUCCAUGUAAAUUACAUAACUUUGAGUCUCAUAUCCAACUUGCACCACCACAGAUAUUCGACUUUCUUCUAGCAAAUAGAGAGAUAGACGGCGAGACUCGAGGAGACAAGAAGGUUGUGAGUCUUGCGAAUAAAGUUUCUUUUCCAGGCUGCGCAGACCACCUAGCGUCCGUCGAGCUCGCCUAGCCCGCCCAGGCGGCCGUCUUACAUCGCUUAAUGUCCUUGCCGAUUUAGUGAACGAUUUCUAGUUAAUUGUGGUGGAGCACCGCCGCCUAGCGCCUAGGCGGCCGCCUAGACCGCGUUUUAGAACACUGGGCAUAAUUGGUCGUCGAUGUCAGUCUGUUUAUUCUCCAAACCAGCAAUUUGUUUAUUCUUAAAAUGCAGACGACGCUUUUCUAUAAGGAUGAAUAGUUUGUUUAUGUAUUUUGACGAGAGUAAUGUUAAAGAAAUUAAAUUUAGAGGAAAACUUUAUAAAUUAAAUGAUGUAUCAUCAAUAAGAAUAAGUAUUUUUAUCAAUGCUUAAGUAAUAAACCAAUCAUAAAUUUCUAUGUUUUUUAAUUUCUAAAAUAUGCCUACAAAUUUAAUCUUGUUAACAUUAUUCUUUUGAUGUUGGUUUGAUUUCCACUUAUUUCUUUCUUUCAACAAUUAACAAUUUUAUCUACUUAGGCUUUGCCUAAUGUCCGCACAAUUUUACAACUUUCAACAUGCAUUUGCUUUGGGCUGGAUCAUUUUUCUUGACUAAACCAGGAUUAUAAUUCAACAUUAGCAUGAAUGAUUCACACCGUUACAUAUAUAGUCUUACACGUUAAUGCACAUCGACUUGGGCUUUUGCCUAAUGUCCACACAAUUUUGCAACUUUCAAUAUGCAUUCGCUUUGGGCUGGACCAUUUCUCUUGACCAAACCAAGAUUAUAAUUCAACAUUAACAUACAUGGUUCACACCGUUUACAUAUAUAAUUUUACGUGUUAUUCCUGUCAAUUCUGAAAAUAACUUUUUGAAUUUUUCUCAACGACAAGAUAUUUGAUAAUGUGGAUGGCAUUAAAUUAUCUCGUAAUCAAAAGAUAACGAGUCAAUGGACAAAGUUGACGAAUUGGGAGGUGGGCUCGUUUAAGAAAGAAAUCAAAAUUUAACUUUAAAAUGUCCAGUUUGUGAACAACUUGUAAUUUAUGAAAAAAAUUGUUAAAAUGAAGGAUCCUUUGAAUUAAUAUAAUAUUUUCAGUCGUCAUUUCGUUUCGAACUUUAGUUUGCAAAGUUAUAUACUUACAACAUGAUUUUUGUAAUUAUGUUUAGUCAUAAAGGGUUUGGUACACAAACAACAAAUGGUUGCCACAAUUCUAUAGAGGACACAAAUUUAGGCUAUUUUUUUCACUUCCAUAUUCAAUAUGUGCAUAAUGUUUGGUGUGAAGGACAUUUUGUACUUGUCUGUAAGGAACUAUGAAAAUGAAUAUUUCAAUUUACCAUAUACAAUUUUAAUCUCUUCCCAAGUGGUGGAUUGCCCUAGUAUAUAGGGUCUUUCUUUCAUUUCACUACAUCCCGAAUUCAAACCUCAUACUUUCUUUCAAGAGUAUUUUAGUUCUUUUUAUAGUUUACUGUAAAAAUAUCGUUUUUAUUCUUUUUUAUAGCCUUUUUCAUUUUAAAAGGUAUCUAAACACUUGAGUAACCUGCACGCGUAGAUAGGUAGAUAGAUAAGAUAACGUUACGUAUACGAAGAUACGUGCGAGAAUACACUGAUUGAAGAAAAACCUAGUUGUAUCCAAGAGACAUACAUGCAAGACUAGCUCAACUUAAACCGAAAAUAACUAGUCAAAACAUAAAACUAAGCCAGUUGGCCUCAUCACUUCUAACUAUUGGACCUACGUCUUGUAAUUGUAUGAUGCUAGUUCUUUGUGGUCAGUGGAUCACCGCGUGCCUUUUUUUGUACACUUAAGUUUUAAUCCAUAUCUAUCAAGUCAAGGAAAAUUUAGGUAUGCUAAAUCAAAGUAAAUUUAAGUAUUUUUUACCAAAAAAAAGAAAGUAUAGGUAUUUGAAUUGAAUUUCUCCAAAUCAAGUAAAUCUUAAUAAAUGCCCUUCUGUUUAGAGGAUUUCUCGCGUUGGAGCUGGAGCCCAAGUAGGAAAUUCCUGGUGCCCAAGCCUAGUUUCCACCUCUCUAACAAGCUUAAAAAUGAGUAAAUAUGAUAUAAGUACGUACUAUAUAUAUAUUAGCAUAUAUAUGAAUUUAUAAAUGUAUGGAAGAUAAAGGGGAUCCACACGGCCAACAAGGCGGCUCAGAGAUAAGAGCGCAACGCUGAUUACCGCUUCUUGCACGACUGUGUUUCGGAUAUUUUCGCCCAGUGUCUCAAGUCUGAGAUUGAAAAAUUUCAUCAUCACAAGGAUCAUGAGUCAUGACCAUGACCAUCAUGAUGAUUACUGCUUGGAGAUUACCCAAGCGGCUACCUCUUUCCCUACCACCGCUGAUCAUCAUAUGCUGUUCAAAAACAUUGCAAGGAAGGUUUUCCCGCCAGAAUCAUGCCGCCGAGAAGGGGAUGGUAGUGUUUGUUGUAUUGACCGACUGAGGAAGGAGGUUUUGUCGCCCUUGAGAAAAACUAUGGCGCCAGAGGGCUGGGAACCUGCCAACCGGUGGGGUUAUAGAGCGGAGUACAAGCGAAAGCAACUGGCUGCAGCCAAUGAAAUUGAUCCUGGCGAUGCCGCGCUGCUUCCGCAUGACAUAUUAAGCUAUCUCAAGUAUCCCGAGCUCGAGCAAGAUGCUGAUGUUAAGUGGAAGAAAAUGGUGAAGGUCUUGUAGAAAACCUUAAUGUAUAUUUCAGUGACUCAAAACAGUUUACAAGAUUAAGCAUAAAUAGAGGAAUAAUCGGGAAAGAGAGGAGAGUAGGGGACAAUGGCAGCUAAGCAAGUCAGCUAAGCAAGCAUGAGAGUAUGAUGACCUCCACACUCUCUUAACACAUGCUUUACAGCUUAUUAACAAGCUUUACACAGAAGAGGGAAUAACACAGCUCACUAAACCCUAGCUAAACACAGCUAACACAGCUUUACAGCUGUUAGGGUUUAAAGAAUUCAAUAAUAUUCAAUACUCCCCCUCAAGCUGGAUCGAGAGAUUUUCUGGAUCCAAGCUUGAAGAGAAUACGAUCAAGUUGAGAAGAAGGAAGGGGCUUGGUGAACACAUCGGCUAGUUGAUCACUGGAGCGAACAAAUGCAGUUUGUAACAGCUUGGACUGGACUUGGUUGCGGACGAAAUGACAGUCAACCUCGAUAUGCUUUGUUCGUUCAUGAAAGACGGGGUUGGCAGCAAUAUGCAUCGCUGCUUGAUUAUCACAGUGGAGGAGAAUUGGCUUGGAAGAGAUGAUGUCAAGAUCAUGCAGCAAACUCUUUAGCCAAAUUAGUUCGCAUGCAGUAGAUGCCAUUGCACGGUACUCAGCUUCUGCGCUGGACCGAGCUACAACAGAUUGCUUUUUGCUCUUCCACGUGACGAGGUUACCACCUACAAGAGUGCAGUAACCAGUUGUGGACUUGCGAUCAAGGACGUUGCCUGCCCAAUCAGAGUCUGUGUAUCCUUCAAUGGUGAAGUGUCCGUUGUUUUGCAUGAAAAUCCCGGUAGACAUUGAGCCUUUUAAGUAUCGAAGGAUCCUUUUAACAAGUUGCAAAUGAUGAGAUGUGGGAGAAUGCAUGAACUGGCUGACAAAGCUAACAGCAUAAGCAAUGUCAGGUCGAGUUAUAGUCAAAUAGAUAAGUUUUCCUACCAACCUUUGAUACUCCGAUGCAUUUUCCAAGCUGGAUGCCUGAGGUUUCAUGCUUGAAAUUUGUUGGUAGAGGUGUUUUAGCAGGUUUGCUGUGCAUCAUAUUGGCUUCUUCUAAAAGAUCGAGAACGUACUUUUGUUGAUUUAGAAACAACCCCGUUGGAGAUUGAUCCAUUUCGAUUCCGAGAAAGUAUCUAAGUCUGCCGAGAUCUUUGAUUGAGAAUGUUGAAUGUAAGGUGGCUUUGAGAGCAUUGAUUUCUUCUGGAUUAUCUCCUGUGACAAUGAGAUCAUCAACAUAAACAAGUACCACCAAUCUUCCAUGUGUGCCAAGCCUAGUGAACAUUGAAGAAUCUGCAUUGCUUCGUUUAAAACCGGAUGACAUAAGGACAGAGCUUAGUUUUGAGUACCAAGCCCUUGGAGAUUGCUUGAGACCGUAAAUGGCCUUGUGAAGCUUGCAUACUACUCCUUGUUCCUUCUCUCGUUCAUGACCAGGUGGUAGGCGCAUGUACACUUCUUCUUCCAACUCUCCAUGAAGAAAAGCGUUUUUUACAUCCAUUUGAUGUAGAGACCAUUGUGAAUUGAUAGCCACCGAAAGAAGAACUCUAACUGUGUUCAUCUUUGCCACCGGGGCAAAGGUUUCUUUGUAAUCUACCCCGUAGGUUUGCGUGAAGCCCCUUGCAACUAACCUUGCCUUGUGCCGCUGGAUGGUUCCAUCUGAGUUAAAUUUUGUCUUGUAAAUCCAUCUUGCCCCAACCACACGUUGAUCUUUUGGCAGAGAAACAAUGCUCCAAGUUUUAGUUUCUUCGAGUGCCUUCAGUUCCUCAAGCAUAGCACAUCUCCAUAUAGGAGAUUGGUUUGCCUCUUCGAAGGAUCGAGGCUCCGAGUGUUGAGAUAACUUAGUGACAAAUGCUGCAUGAGAUGGGGAGGUCUUGCUAUGGUGAACCAUUUGUCCAAUAGGAUAUCUAGGCAUGUAGAUUUCAAAAUCAUCAAGCCUGGCUGGAGGUUGUCUGUUUCGAGAAGGAUUCCUUCGUGGAUGAGUAGGUUGUUCAAGGGGCUCUCUCCUUUCGUGGAGGACUUCUUCAUUAUUUGCUUCUAUAUUUUCAUGAGCUGGCUCUAUCUCAAUUGCUUCAUUGUGCGGUGUUGACAGUCUUGGAUCAUCAAAGGACGAGAGGAGUGGGAAACACUUCAUAUGAGAGCUCCCCCUGAGGUUCAUCAUCAUGCUUCUGAAAAGAAGAAGUGUGUCUCAUCAAACCGUACAUCCCUGGAUACAAACACCUUUCUGGUUUUAGAAUCAUAGCAUUUGUAUCCCUUUUGGGAAGUUGAGUAGCCUACGAAUGCACACUUGAUAGCCCUUGGAUCAAGUUUAUCUCGGUGAAUAGUUUGAAUAUGCACAUAGCACACACAUCCAAACACACGGAGAUGACUUAUGUCAAUAUCUCUCCCCUUGAGAAUUUGACAAGGAGAUUUAAACUUCAAGAUUCUGCUAGGAAGUCGAUUUAUGAUGUAUGCAGCGGUUUGUAUAGCUUGAGACCAGAACUUCUUUGGAAGGUUUGCUUGUAACAUUAGUGAUCGUGUUUUCUCAAGCAAAUCUCGGUUCUUCCUUUCUGAAAUGCCAUUUUGUUGUGGUGUUCCUACACAAACUAGUUUGUUGCAAGAUUCCAUGCUCACUUAAGUAAGUUGUCAUGAUUUUGGAAGUAUACUCAGAGCCAUUAUCAGACCUUAAGAUGCCAAUAUUAGAGUUAAAAUGAUUUUGAACUAAGUUAUGAAAAUUUUUGAAACACUGGAAAGCUUCGUGCUUGAAUUUAAGUAAUACACAAAGGUAGUUCUAGAGAAAUCAUCAAUGAAAGAUAUAAAGAAUCUGUAGCCAUCAAAAGACUCUAAGGGUUGCAGGUCCCCAAAUGUCGGAAUGGACAAUUUCAAAAACUUUGGUAGCUCUAGAGAGAGAAUGGGGAAAGGGUAACCUGGUGGACUUAGAUUUUUGACAAACUUCACAAUCUGAAAUCUCUUUACAGAAACUAGGAAAAAUAAAAGACAUAACAUGGGAAGAAGGAUGAGCUAAUCUCAUGUGCCACAGCUGCUCCUUGUUUACUGUGUUUGAGUUUACGUAGAAACCUUUUGGAAAACUUGAAGAGAAGUUGACAUAGUACAGUCCAUUGAGGAAGAAACCUUUACCAAUCGUUUCCUUCGAAACUCGGUCCUGGAAAAUCACACAGUGAGUGGAAAAAAUUGCAAGACAAUUUAGCAAUUGUGUUAUUCUUCCUACUGACAGCAACUUGAAAGGGAAGGAAGGGACAAUGCAUGACAAGGGAUUCCUUUUUACUUGAGAAGAUUUUGAGUUUUCCUAUGCCUACUAUACUAACUUUGGUGCCAUUAGCUACGGAGACAAAAGAAGGAGUGGAGAAGUUUUGAAAAUCAUUUAGUAAAGAUGCAUCGUUAGUCAUGUGAUCAGAAGCUCCUGAGUCGACUAUCCAAAAACCACGGCUACUACUAAGAUCCAAUGCAGUGGAAAUAGUUGCAACAAUACCUGGCACAUCAUUUUGUGACACUGAGCUUGACUGUUCGAGGAAGCCAGCAAACUUGCCGAGCAUGGCUGCAGGAUUUUCAUGAUUUGUUGUCCCUUGUUUCUGUUGCAAGAAGUUAGCAAAUUCAUUUAUGAGAGUAAUGGGACUAGAAGAAGAGUUCAUCACAUUUUUUGAGACAUUGUCGCAAACAAGGUUUCCUUGAGGAGUGUAGGCAGGCUUCAUUUGGUUUCUUGGUGCUCUUCCCUCAUCAUUGAACUUGGGUUUAAGUUCUGGAUGAAGAAUCCAGCACUUUUCUUUUAUGUGUCCAAUGCCUGGACGACCUAUUUUUCACACAGUGAGAACACUUUAAGUCUGGUCGUUUUCCCUUGUAUGGUCUGAAAGAGGUGAAGGCUCUUGCUUCUGAUGGCCUAGGAUCUGAUUCUCCAACGACAACGACUGCAUUCAUGACCUUCUUCCUUAUUUCUUCGCGUUGAAUAACGUUGCAGACCAUCUGGAAGGUGGGAAGCUCAGGUGUCAUCAGGAGAUGACUUUUAAGGUCCUCAUAUUCUGGUCCGAUGCUGGCAAGCAACUGGAACACUUUGUCUUCUUCAGCACGCUUUAAAAGAAUGGUUGUGUCCGUGGUAUGAGGUCUGUAGAGAUCCAAUUCAUUCCAUUUGGCCUUCAAGUUGCCAAGAUGUUGAACAAAAGAGAGAUUUCCCUGUUGUAAUUCUGUAAGAUCUUUCUUCAGCUGGAAGACUCGCGCAGCAUUGUUUAGAUCUCCAUACAUGUCUCGUACAGAAAUCCAAAGGUGGUGAGAUGAUACUGAAUAACUGAAAAUCUCAGCCAUCUUUGGUUCCAUAGAAUUCAACAGCCAAGACAUGAUAAGUUGGUCUUGGGACACCCAUGCUGCAUAAUCUUGUGAAGUUGUUUCGGGCAUGAUAUCAUCCUUUUGAAUGAACUGGAGCUUUCCACGUCCUCCAAGAGCGAGAGAAAUAGCUCGUGACCAAGGCAGAUAGUUGAAUUCGUUUAGGAGCACUGAGCUCAAACGUUGAAUUGGGUUGGUAUCCAUAGUUUCGUUUUUUGAAACUUUCUCUGAUGAUGUUGCCAUAAUGGCUUUAACUGGUUUGAAUUUGGUAGGAUUUCGGAAGAACACAGAAGCAGGUCCAAGAGGGAUCACUGCUCUGAUACCAUGUAGAAAACCUUAAUGUAUAUUUCAGUGACUCAAAACAGUUUACAAGAUUAAGCAUAAAUAGAGGAAUAAUCGGGAAAGAGAGGAGAGUAGGGGACAAUGGCAGCUAAGCAAGUCAGCUAAGCAAGCAUGAGAGUAUGAUGACCUCCACACUCUCUUAACACAUGCUUUACAGCUUAUUAACAAGCUUUACACAGAAGAGGGAAUAACACAGCUCACUAAACCCUAGCUAAACACAGCUAACACAGCUUUACAGCUGUUAGGGUUUAAAGAAUUCAAUAAUAUUCAAUAGGUCUACUUAAAGCAGGGGAAGCUGAAGAAUUGGCUGUGUGUGAUGUCGACAACUCCUUGUCGGCGGGUUUGGCGGUUUUUUCUGCAGGUGCAGCUUUCUUGGCUUUUCUGGCUCGUUUUCUACUCUUUCCCUGCCAAAUUUAUCCAUUGUACGUAGAAAAUUAGAAAUCGAUAAGUAAGGCUCAAUGCUGGCAGUAAAACAAAGACAGAAAAACAAAAGGGAAAAACUAAAAAAUAAAUCACAUGCAGAUAAGAUUUAAAAAUAUUAAAAAAGUUAACCAUCACCCAAUACUAAUUUGUAAGCAGGUGAGACUCCAAUAACAGUUGAGAAUUUAGGCACAAACGACGAAGAAUGCAGAAUAAGCUGAAUGAAUCUUCCAAGCAUACACUUUAGAGAACAAUGCACACAUGACAGUCUAGAAAAAUGCAAAGAUAAACUCAAAUGUAGUAAAUAUUGGGAUAAACCACAUAGCUAAGCUAGCCAUAUCCCAUAAUAUAAUGAAUAAAUUCAAGGUUUUGGUUAGAAGGUCCUACUUUGAAAGGAAUGAUUUUACUGCAACGAAAUGCAUAAAAGGUGAAAGCAAGACACCAGUUCCAAGACAUGUCCUCUAUCAUAACUGAAUUGCCUAUUUAGUGGGGCUUAAGGACUCAGAAUUUGUUGUUUUAUGUGCCUAGGAUCUGAAAAGAAGUAUUCUUCGUAGAAUAGCCAUAGUUUCAAAGACUAGGACUAAAAACAAGUUAAUUGUCUGGAAGACAAAGGGUUUGUUGCAAAUUUCAGUUAUAAACUUGCAUAGGCAUUACCUGAUCGUAGUCCUUGUUAAGUACUUCCCAAAUGAAUCUUUUAAACCGCACCACCUCCUUGCUGUUAAGGUACCCAGCAACCUAAAAAACAGAAGCAUGAGUUCUUCCAUAUCGAAAUUCACAAACGAAAAAUAGAAGCAACAAUCACAUGGGAAUCCAAAUCGCUAUACGGACUACCGAGCAGGGCCGGCCCAGGCCCAGUGCAGGAGGGGCAACCGUCCAGGGCCCAAAAAAAUUAGGGGCACCAAAAUUAUUAGGGCGGUGUAUUUACAUAUGUUUUUAUAAGAGUAUAAAUUUAUAAAAUUUGAUUCAAAGACACAUAAAUUUAACUAGAAGUGGUGGUUUGUCAUUUGAAAAUAAUAAGGAGGUCUUGGGUUCAAAACACCAUGUGUGCUUAUUUACUUUCCUUUUUUUACAAAUUUUUUUUAUAAGAGUAUAAAUUUAGAAAAUUUGGUUAAAGGAUCAAAAAGUUUAAUUAGAAACAAUGAUUUUUGUUGUUUAAAAUUAACAAGUGGUCCUAAGUUCGAAAUGCUAUGUGCAUGUUUAUUCUUUUCAAUUUUUACAAAAUUUUGUUUGGUUGGUAAUUUAUUUUUAGUUACUAUCUAGUAGCUAUGUGGGUUGUUAUUUUUAAAUAUUCGUUUUAAUUCAAGUCUAAUCUUCAACAAAGAAUAAUACGUAGACCAAAUUUGCAAAUUAUAUGACGUGUCAUCAAAAUGUUUAAUUUAGUACCCAUUCAUUAAUAAUACAUAUUAAUUAAAGAUUCGAAAACAUCAUUAUUUUUUAGUCCAGUAUUGACAAGUUUAGUAAAUAAGAAAAAAACACCUCACGAUUUAUUCAAAAACACAUUCAAAGUUCAAAUGGAAAACAAAACUCAUCAUCUAUUUACUUGUAAGCCCGCAGUUUUUUUGUUUCCCUCUCUCAAUACAAAAUAAAUUAGUCUUUCUGUGUUUCUAAAUUAUUGAGUUUGAAGUGUUUUUCUAAGUAUAAUUUUUUCGAUGUCUUAUGUGUGAAAAUAAAUAAUUUCUUACAUGAAAUUAGGGCAUUUUUUUUUACGUCGCCCCGGGCCUCAAAAAUCUCUGGACCGGCCCUGCUACCGAGUGGGCUAUGAUGGAAGUGUUCUCUGAUGGGCAGGUGGGUGUAACCUUCAGGAUCUCUGCUUAGGUGUUUGAUUAAAUUUAUCCCCUUAAUUAUCAGACAUGGAAAAUGUGGUCGAUUGUCAUGAACCAAGAACUGAACUUUUCACAAUAACUAUGAAAUAAAAUUCCAACAACGUCGCAUGCAAACUAAAAAUUGUUAUUAUCAUCGAAAUAUUUGAGCACCUACCUUAAAUUCAUCAACUUAUGGAGAAUGGGCGGGCAGACACCAUUCGACGAAAACAAUUCAGAAAAUUGAAAAAAAUAAUAAGAAGCAAUGCCUGCUUUAUCUGCAUACCUCGGAGUCGUCGAUAUCUGAGAGGCUUUCUGAGACAUCGCCAUCCGCAGUUGACAUUGCAGCUUGCCGCCUUCUUUUGUAAACUCUCGGUUCUUUUGAAUUUUAUGUAAUUUUAGGUAUUCAGCUUUCGUGGAACUAGAAUUUAAAUCGACAGGAAUGUCGGCGAACAAACAAGAACCGACCUAGUUCAGUUUCCCUUUUAGAAUUGGAAUGGUGGAACCCAACCAUGCUGUUCUCUUUGUUCAAAUCAAAUUAAAUCAGACCAGUUUUGGUUCUUUGAAUCAAGCAAUAGAGUUAGUAAGUGUAAGUUAGAUGUUAGACAUUAGAUUUGAUUCUAGUUUCAAUUUUUUUUUUUAAUGAAAAAAAAGGUAAUAACAGACUAACAGUCCAAAAUCAACAGGGCUAGCCCCAAAAUAGUAGGAAAAAUUAAUCAAGAAACCAGAAAUACUCAGCCCAAUCUAAAAAUCAUGUGGUUCUUUUUUGGUAAACAAAACCGUGUGGUAAACACAAACGGCAUGAAUUACAUCUUACAUUGUAGAAACACAUUACUAUUCCUACUGUUGGGACCAAAUUCGCGCACAAUCGUUGAUAUACAAAUAAUCGUUGGAAUAUCUUGAACACCGAUAAAUAGGAGAAUUGUUUGGGGGAUGUAACUAAAUUAAAAAAUGAUUGCCUACAUAUCUCCUUGUCAAAGAGGGAGAAUCAAAUUGCGUGUAAUUCCAUGCAUGAGUUGGAUGAGCAUGUAGAGAUGUGUUUGAGCAUGUAUGCAUUAGAUGAGAUAUCAGAUAUGCGUUAUAUCUCCUUGGAAGGAACCCUAGCUUGGAUAUUUAUAGAUGAGAUCUUUCAACUCUUUGUCAAAUGCUUAUGCAUAUAUAAAGCAACAUAUCAAAGCCAAUAUUCUCAUGCUAUAAUCAUGCAAAUGUAAAGUGUAAAACAAUAAUUUAUUCAGCAAUCCAAACACAUAAAGCGUCAGUCACGUUAAAUAAAAUGAUAACAGCAAGAAUUAAAGCUAAGUAGGUAAAAGAUUAUCCUAGCAUUUUGUUGUCCUCAAACUUCCAUUAUUUCAAAACCCCUUUACCCACACCAACCCACAUUUUUUUUCUCAUUAACCGACUCCCUCUCACCACUUUCUUUUCAACUCUCUCCCAACCUUCCAAAACCUCUUUAUUUUCCUUCUUUUCUUCCAGUUCUUUCCCUUCCGGUAGGGGCUAUUCUCACACCUUCACUUCCCACAAACAUCCCCUUCUUGUUGGAAUCCAGCAAUAUAACUAAGUCUAACAGGAUUUGAGAGAAAGAUUGUAAGAUUUAGAAGAUGAAAUCAGAGAGAGAGAGCACACACAGAGCAUAGCCUUUCAACUUCUAUCAUUGUAUUGCAUUAUGGGCAUAACAACCCGAAGAGACAUAUAUCUGACGACAAAGAUGAGUGAGAGAGAAUCAUAACCUCAAUUCAAUCUCAACCAACCAUUACAACCUAUCUUAAGAUCAAGACACUUGUCAAAUGAUAAGCCCUAUGAGACUUAAUCAACACAUCACAAUUUUACACAAUAGCUCAGCCUAUGAGCUGAGACAUGACACACAUAACAAUCUUGUAAUGUUUACUAAUCAGUACAACAUACAUACUAACACUCUCCUUUAAGUUGUGAACUGAUUUCACUCCAAGUAGAUUUCUCAAGUAAGUGAACUGCUCCCUUGCCAAUGCUUUUGUAAAGAUAUCUGCCAGUUGCUCCUUUGUAGGACAGUGAAUCAAAUCAAUUACUCCUUGCUGUAAUGCUUCCUUUAUGAAGUGAUAUCUUCGGUUUAUAUGCUUGGUCUUCUGAUGAAAGAUGGGAUUCUUGGUGAUGGCUAUGGCAGAUGUAUUGUCACAAUUCAUUGGUGUUGCAACCGUUUGCAUUUCACCAAAAUCCUCUAGGACAAAUCUCAACCAAGUAGCCUGUGCUGUUGCUUCAGAAGCACUAAUAUACUCUGCUUCGGCUGUGGAUAAUGCAACACAUUGUUGCUUGACUGAAGACCAAGAGAAAAUCCCAUUUCCAAAAGUAAAAGCAUACCCGGAUGUGCUUUUCAUGUCAUCCUCUGAACCACUCCAGUCACUAUCACAGUAUCCCAUUAAGAGUGUUCCUUCACCUUUCUUGUAUUCCAAACCAAAAUCAAGGGUUCCUUGAACAUAUCUCAAUACUCUCUUUGCUGUUCCAUAGUGCUUGUUAGUUGGACAAUGCAUAAACCGAGCUAAGAGACAAGCAGCAUACAUUAUAUCAGGUCUAGUUGCUGUGAGAUACAACAGACUACCUACAAUCUGUCUAUACUGAGCUUCAUCUGCAUUUCCACUUCCAUCUUCUCUUCUCAGUUUGUCACUUGGAACCAAAGGAGUACUCACUGAUUUGCAAUUCUGUAGUCCGAACUUCUUCAGAAGAGAUAAGGCAUAAUUUCUCUGAUGAAUGAAGAUACACUCCUCAGUUUGGAUUACCCCCAUACCAAGGAAAUGGUGUAAGAGACCAAGAUCAGUCAUCUCAUACUUAGACAUCAUCUCAGCUUUGAAAACAUCCAUUAACUCUUGACAAUUUCCAGUAUAUAUAAUAUCAUCAACAUAGAUGGAUACUAUGAUCAAUUCUGUGUCUCCCUUGUAUUUGGUGUACAGAGUUGCCUCACUGAUACUUUUCUUAAAUCCACAAAGCAUAAGAUAUGAGUCUAUUUCACCAUACCAGGCCCUAGGUGCCUGUUUUAGACCAUACAAAGCUUUAUGUAAUCUGUAAACCUUUUCUUCCUCUCCUUGCACUACAAACCCAUCUGGCUGUUCAACAUAUACUUCCUCUUCUAAUACUCCAUUCAGAAAAGCUGAUUUCACAUCUAGUUGAAAUAACUUCCAUUUAUUCUUUGCUGCCAGUGCAAUUAGAGUUCUAACUGUGUUUAAUCUUGCAACAGGUGCAAAAGUCUCAUUAAAAUCAAUUCCAGGCUUUUGUGCAUAGCCUUUUGCAACAAGUCUAGCCUUGUUCUUUUGAACUGUUCCAUCCAAAUUCAGCUUUGUUUUAUACACCCAUUUCACUCCAAUCACAUGCUUAUUUGAGGGUCUUCUCACCAACUCCCAUGUCUGAUUUUUUUCAAUCAUAUUCAUUUCAUCCUUCAUUGCCUUUUUCCAAGCUUCAUCAUGUGCAACUUCAUCAAAGGAUUCAGGUUCAACAAUACAUAAGUGACAUCUCUCAUAGAUCUCACUCAAAUUCCUAUACCUCAGUGGAGUAUCAUCAUACUGAGCAGAGACCCGUGAACUACUUGAUUCACCAAUAGCAGUAACUGUAGAACUUCCAGCUUGAAUUUGAGACCCAUCAGAUCCUUCUUGUUCAUGAGAUUCAGACAUCUCAUCAAUUUUAUCCACCUCUGAAGACUCAAUUGCAGAUAAAGGAAUACAGACUUCCUUGACUUUGUGUUUCUCCCAAUCCCAUCUACCAUGUUCAUCAAAAAUUACAUCUCUAGACAACAAGACCUUUUGAGUUAAGGGAUUCAGUACUCUAUACCCCUUUUCACAGGUUCCAUAUCCAAUGAAAACACCCAUGACACUUGUUUCUUCUAAUUUGUGUCUUAGAUUCCCUGGAAUAAGAGAAUAGCAAACUGAACCAAACACCUUCAAAUAUUUAAACCCCUUUGGUUUUCUUCACCCCACCGAUGUGGGACAAUUUUAACACUCCCCCUCACGUGUAACCUCAUUUAGUGGUUCACACGUGGAGAUCCACAUCGGUAAUUGAAACUCAGAGGUCGGCUCACGUUGGGCCCACUUGUUUUCAAUGGAACUCAGCGGUCAUCUCUAUAUUAAGAGCUCAGACUUGUUUCCUUCCGGGUGGUGACAAGCUCAUUGGCUUGCACACACAAGCUCGUUGGCUUGCACGGGCCCGCAACCGUGGGCUCUGAUACCAUGUUGGAAUCCAGCAAUACAACUAAUAUAACUAAGUCUAACAGGAUUUGAGAGAAAGAUUGUAAGAUUUAGAAGAUGAAAUCAGAGAGAGAGAGCACACACAGAGCAUAGCCUUUCAACUUCUAUCAUUGUAUUGCAUUAUGGGCAUAACAACCCGAAGAGACAUAUAUCUGACGACAAAGAUGAGUGAGAGAGAAUCAUAACCUCAAUUCAAUCUCAACCAACCAUUACAACCUAUCUUAAGAUCAAGACACUUGUCAAAUGAUAAGCCCUAUGAGACUUAAUCAACACAUCACAAUUUUACACAAUAGCUCAGCCUAUGAGCUGAGACAUGACACACAUAACAAUCUUGUAAUGUUUACUAAUCAGUACAACAACUUACAUACUAACACUUCUUCCCACAAACUCCUCUCUCUCUCUCUCUCUCUCUCUCAGUUGUUUUCAUUUUUAUUCACUUGUUGCUCUCACUCUUUUUUUUUCUUUUCCUUGCCUCUCACAACUCCCUCGACACCUCUCUUUCUCUUUCCUUCUUUUAUGCUUUUCUUCCACCCUUUAAUAUAGCUGAAAAUUUGCAUAUGUAACAAGAGUAGAAUUGGUGAGCAACAUAAAAUGGAGAUGUAGGCUAAAGAGGCUAGCUGAGAAGGCCUGCUCAACCGUACAUAAGCUGCUCAAACUGAUGUAUAGGCCAACAUACAGAUUAGGUUGUCGAGCUUUUUGGAUAUUAUAGAAGAGAUGAUAAGGAACAAUUUUUGUGAAGGAAAUGUUUUUGUUUGAUCACAGUAAGUUGGAUUUUUAAGCUCCAAACAUGACUAUAAGGUUUUCUGCGGAUUUUUAAGGCUGUAAUAGCAUUUUGAUUAUCUGGAAUGAAUGGACAGUUAGAUCGUUCUGAGACUUUGAUAUGUUAAGGUAGAGAGAAUAAGGAACAAUUUCUAUGAAGAAAGUAUUUUGAUAUGAGUAAGAGAAAAUGUAGUUUCGAAUCUCAUAUUUGGAUAUGUUGUAUUUAACGAGUUAACGAACAACUUUCUUAAAGAAGGCUUUUUAAUUUGAACUAAAGAAAAUGGUAAUUUGAUCUGCAAAACAGAUAUGACGAAUUUCUGGUUCUUGAAAUUCUUUCUCUUGAUAAGUAGAAGAAAAUGAUGAUGAGUUUGGUGUAGAGAUUUGUUGGGUAAGCUCUUAUGCAUUUUUUGGGAUUUGUAUGUGAUUUCUUUCUCCGGAUUCUCAUUGAAAAAUAGAGGGAGAUUUGGUGGUGCUUCAUGGAGUUGCAUAAUGGUGUUUCACUAGAACUUGAUAACACACACAUUCACAUAAACACACAGUAUAGGAGUCGUUCGUCAAAGUGACUACAUCCACUGGGGUUUGCUUUCAUUUGUAUUUCACUAGAUAUGAGAGACUUACAAAUACAAUGAAAGAUGACUUAAAGCAUUUACAGAAGGUAAAAGAAAUGGAUGAUGAAAGAGGAAUGGUCUGAGAAAGAGAACAUUCCUUUUGCUAGUGUGUUCUUGUUGGUGUGGUGUUCUCCCUUUUUUUCCUCGUGUCCUUCUAGUUCUUGCUCCUUCCUUUAUAGGGAUCAUAUGAGUUCUUCCUUCUCACAACAUGUGCAAUCUAACUUGAGGAUAAAAGCUCCCUAGUGUCCCAAUAGAAAGACACCAAGUAUUGUGCAAAUUAUUAGCCAUAAUAUGUGUUCGAAUAGCAAGACAACAUGUGUUAAACUAAUCAUUAAUAAUGAUAUGUGUUCCAAUAACAAAGCAACAUGUGUUGAGCUAAUCCUGAACAAAAAAUAUCAUGUAAGAUGGAUGCAUGUCUGGAUGCAUGUCUAAGGCCACGUUAAAGUUUAUCUUAUGGUAAGCUGGUUGGAACAAAACAUAUGGUAACUCUACAAAUUGGUAGGAUAUCCGGAUGGUGAAUUAAAAGCUCCAAAACCCAUGGUUAUAAUCACACCUCAAACUAAAACCAAAAGAGUAGCACACUAUUUAGUUGCUAGUGGCACGCAAAUGAGAAAUACAAAGCCUAACAAAUCAAUCUACAAAUAAAGUGAAACAUAUAUGUAUUUGUUAACUAAUGAAAAAAAGAACUUGGUAUAUCAAACUUUAGCAUAAUACACAAAUUAAAAGUACUUCGACACUUAUAUAUAUACCCACUUUUUAAAUUACGGAGUAUUACACUUGCAAAUGCCUCUUGUAUAAAGUUGUUUUAGUCCUUUCACUAUCAACCUUAACAUACACGACAUUGUUCACCUUUUAACUCCAAGCAUGAACUUUCCCCUCCUAAAAACUUAGGCUCCAAAUCAUUUCAAUUGUUGCCUAAUUUUUUUGGGAGGAAAGCCCAUAUUUGAAUCCAAAAGUAGAAAAUGUUAUGGUUGCUAGACCUGAAUAGUUAACACUCUAUAACAAAUAUACUUAUAAUUUUGAGUUUGUUUUUGUAUUGCAUGUGGUUUAAUAUUCUAGUGAAUAGAUUAUUGAGUUUCCACACAGAUGUCCUGGUUCGGAAUUCUCCCCUCAUAAAUUAUUAAAAAAAUAGGUAACAAAUUGAAAUUUAAAUAAAAGUUAAGGUGACAAAUAAAAAAUUUGCCUUUUCUUCCCUAGUCUGCAACUGGACCAUCAACAUCAAGGCUCAAAUCAUAGACCCAAAAAUGCCUUAUUAAAUUAUAUGAAUUCCUGAACAUAUUCUUAAAUUUUAGUGGUGGGAUCUCCAUCCAAUGGUGGUGGUUCAUGAACAUAUCUAUAAACAUUUUGUAUGAAUAAGUAGAAUAUACAUCCAUUUGCUAAGAUAUAUUCAAAUCUGGCAAGCCAGUCCCCUGCCCACUACCAAAAGCCAAAGCUAAAAUACAAUUACAAUUAAUUAUUAAAAUGUGUAUUAUAUAAAAGGAAAGGGUGCACAAAGGGAUAAAAGGAGCAUGUAGACCUGAUAUUUAUCACCUUCCUUCUCUUCUAAUGCCAGCGAGCAGUGAUUGAGUGACGUUUACAGGAGAAGGCGCAGGGUCAAUCCAGGGAGUGUCAGCACCACUUGCAUUGCUGCCUCCCGGCUGAUAGUUGAGGCGAACAUUACUAUCCUUGGAUGCAGUUGAUGAGGUAUCAUCCUCCACCAAAAAUCUACCUGUUGAAAAUGUUGUUACAUCUUUAAAAUUAUAAUCUGUCAAAUAGCUUGGUUUCGACAUGACAGUGCCUGUGUCAAUGUCUCCAGAGAGCAUUGCAACCACGCGUGACAUAGAUGGCCUUGCCAUCGGUGAUCCCUGCGUGCACAGGAGAGCUGCUCUUAUCAAUCUAGUUGCUUCGGUUUCAUCAAACUCUGUCAAUCUCGGAUCCACCAACCCCAGAGUUUGGUCAUUUUCAUGUAGAGUCCAUACCUGAAAAACAUUAUGCCACGAUCAAAGGAAAGUAUAAAUAAGUUUUUCACAACAAUGCCUAAAUGAAGCUAGGCGAAUGCAAUUCCUACCCAUUCAAGAAGAUAAAUCUUUUCUGGAUCCAAGUUAUUGUAAGAGUUUGGUCUCCCACUGAGGAUCUCCAAAACAACGACUCCAAAACCAAACACAUCAGCCUUCUCUGUCAAAUGUCCAAACAAUGCAUACUCUGGUGCCAAAUAGCCUCUGCAAUGCAAGAUAAUCAAAUGGUUGCACAAUGUUGCUUGAGAUCAUUAGAGGCAUUAUUAACAUGUGUGUUAAAAUUUCAUGCAAGCAUAAAUGUGUGUGGCCAUAAUCUAUGUAUCCUCGGGAAAAACAAUAAAGGAUGGCUUACAUUGUCCCUGCAACCCGGGUGCUGAUGUGGGUUUUUUUGUCAUCAUAAAGCUUUGCCAGUCCAAAAUCUGAUAUUUUUGGGGAGAGUUCUGCAUCGAGCAAAAUAUUACUCGCUUUGACAUCUCGAUGUACAAUCCUUGGCCUUGACUCCUCAUGAAGGUAAGCAAGUCCUCUUGCUGUUCCUAACAAUAUAUUGAAUCGAGUAGGCCAGUCAAGGUGCAAGUUACUUGUUCCUGAAAUAUUAGUGAACACGUCCAAUCAAAAACAUUUCUUAACAAUUUUAGAGUGCUUGAAACUACAGACAAUGUUGUUUCUAUGCAACCUAAAAGUAGAUAGGUUUGUACCAAAAAGUGCCUGAUCAAGGCUCUUGUUUUCAAGAUACUCAUAAACCAAAAUGCGCUGGCUGCCUUCGAUGCAGCAUCCAUACAAUUUCACUAGAUUCCUAUGUUGCACAGCAGAUAUGGUAGCAAUUUCAGAUACAAAUUGACUCUGCCCUUGGUGAGAUGCUACUGAAAGUUGCUUCACAGCCACUACUCUCCCAUCAGAAAGUGUACCCUACAAUGUACACAGAAACACAAUUUAGUGACAUGAAAGGAAAGAAAAGAGAAGCUUUAUUUUCUUCUCUUGCUCGCUCUCUCUCCCUUUCUAUUGUCAUUACUUCAAGUACAUGAUACUGAUGUAAUAUGGAUUUCACCUUAUAAACAGGGCCAUAUCCUCCCUCUCCUAACUUAUUUGAAGGAUUAAAAUCUUCAGUUGCAACUCUCAACUCAGCAUAACUGAAAGUAUUUGGUCGAGGGCCUAAUCCAAGAAUAUCUACACAUUCACGAAACAGUGUGACAUAAGUUCUACUUUCGUGAAAGUAUUCGUACUUGUGUGUGUUAAUGUCAGAGCAGAGGAACCUGAAUUGGAUACCACUAAUAAUAUGGUCGUUUACCUUCGUUGUCCUCUUUUUCUGAUGUUUUCCUCCUCAUAUAUAGAAUCGCCAAUAUUAGUAACAAGCUCACAACUCCAACAGGAACUGCAAUACCAACUAUCAACCCAGUCCUGCUCUUCUUUCCUGGAGUAGUUGGUGGAAGCCCAGAAACUGUUGGUGUAAAAUCUGAGAGAUAAAACAGACGCAUUCUUCAGUGUCAAUUAACAACAAAAAAAUACAUUUAAACCAUUCAUAGGAAAUCUCUAAUAGUUAACACAAUUAUACCUGAAGCAGCAUGGACGGCUGCUAUUAGUGGGCCGUAAUCACCUGGUAAAGGUAUGCAACAAGUCCCUUUACCAGCCCAGAAUAGAUGAAUUUCAAGAUAAUUCUCUGACACGCUAACAUUGAAUAUUUUCUUAAUUCCUACGUUAACCCCAUGUGCCUCCUUGGAUAUGUCAAAGUCCUCUUCCCUGCGGGUACCCUAGCAACCAAAUGAAGAGCUAGGUAAUACUUCUAGUCUCCUUUAAAUCAUGAGAGACUUUGGAUGCGGUCCCUAACUACCAAUGUCCUCUGACUAAAACCUUGGUAGUUUUCAGUUUUUUAUUAAAGUCUUUGACAUUAAUGUAAUAAUAUAUUUUUACGUAGGUUAUUAUAUUUUAAAUUAAAAAUUGAUAUUUGUAGUUGUUUAUAUUAAUGAGAUUUUAAAUGAAAACCAUAAUUUAUGGGAUUAAAAACAUUAAAGGAUAAAGUAUACUCUCUAAUAUAUUGUGUGUGUGUGUACACAUACAUACAUGCAUGGGUUCAUCAAAACUAAACAAAAAAUUAUUGUACCAAAACAUGGGUACAUUUUUCAAAAAUAAAAUAAAAUGAUAUUAGGCUUAUUAACAUAUUAAAUUUCUUGCAUUAAACUACACAUAGAUACAUUUUCAAAUCAACAAAAUAGAAUGUGCCCUUUAUAAGUUUAAAAAGUGGAUUAGAAGAAAAUUUAAUGGAUUUUAUAUGAAAAGGGGUACAUUUUUUAUAUUAAAAAAUGGUACAUUUAUAUAUAACAAAUUGAUAUAAUUAAGAAUAAGUACAUUUAAGAUUAGAAAAAAUUGAAAAAUAUAUGAAUGGGUACAUUUAAGAUUAAAAAAUUAAUGGGUACAAACUUAUUCUAAUUUUAAUUUUUAAUUUUUAUUUUGGAAAGGUUUUGAAUUGAAAAUUAAUUAGGAGUUUAAUAAGGGUGUGAGUAUUAAAACCCUAAAUCAAUUAUUAAUUUUUAUUUGGAAAAGUUAUGUAACUGACAUGCAAAUUCAUCAAUAAAUUAAUGCUAGGAACUUUAAUUAAAAUCUGAAAACUAAUAAGGUCUCAAUCAAUAAACAUUACUAACUAGGGACCAAAUACUAAUUUUUCCCUAAAUCAUUGUCUUUAGUUAAGCUAGCUUAAAAUAUCGAAAACCUGCCCAACGAGUCUUACUUCAAAUAAGUUAGAUUUUUUUUUUUCCAUAAGCAGCCUUACCUGAAUAUAGAUAUCAAAUACACGCCGUCCUAGACUUUCCCAAGUUUGCUGAAUGCGCUUCUCAAAAUCCGUCUCUGCAAAGUGCAAUGUUACAGUGUAAGGUCCAUUCUCAAGACCCAGGCCAUAGUAUCUCAGUGAUCCUGGGGACAAUCUUGAAGUCUGGAAGAGCUCCGGGGUCACAUCUGUUCCGGUGACUUGUUCGGGGGUAUUUUCCAGAAACGAUCGGUUCACUCCUUCAGAAAACAUACCGACAUUGCUGACAGCCCAUUUCUCUAUACUGGUUACAUUGAAUGUUGCUGGACCAAGAGCUGAGUCUUCAGCAUCAUACAAUAUGCCAUCACGUCCCUUCAUUUCCGGUCCACCACAGUUGAUUGAGAAGUUUGCAUCUGUAAGUUUCAUGUAAUACCAGAAUCUACCCAUGAUUAGCAAUGAAACUUCAAAUUGAAGACUCAUAGUAAUGUUUUUCAGUCACAUGUUUCCGACCAGUUAUGCUUAUUACUGAACUUAUGAGAACAUGCUUGCAAUCUAUAUCCAUAU
rnacentral:lncRNA from 1 species